UUUCAACAGUCUAAGCACAUUAGUACAAGCUAGGAUAUAUAAUGAUCAAUGAACUACUUGACUUUCUAACUUCACUUUCCGGGAACAAAGUUGGUGGCAUAUGACCAAACAUUGUUGUUAACAGGGUCAGCCAAGUGAUCAGCUAGGUUCUCAAUCGGUCCAUUUCCUGUCACAAUAGCUUGCACAAAAAACCCGAACAUGGAGAACAUGGCUAAUCUUCUUGAGCUCCUUCACUUUAAGCUCAGCAAAAGCCUCAGGAUCGUCUGCAAGCCCUAAGGGGUCAAAGCUCCCCCCAGGGUACAAAGGGUCUACAACUUCACCGAGAGGUCCUCCUGCAAUUCUGUAGCCUUCAACUGCACCCAUCAAGAUCACUUGUGUUGCCCAGAUUGCCAAAAUGCUCUGAGCAUGAACUAAGCAUGGGUUUCCCAAGUAGUCUAGUCCACCCUCACUGAAGAUUUGAGCUCCUGCCUUGAACCAAACAGCUUCUCCGAACUUGCUCCAUUACGAGCUAGGAAUUCAGGGAAGACACAUCCUAGAGCACCGAGCAUGGCCCAUCUUGAAUGGAUGACCUCGAGCUCACGGUUCUUGGCAAAUGUCUCGGGAUCGACUAAGAGCCCAGCUGUGUCCCAACCAUAGUCACCGGGAAACUCUCCGGUGAGAUAAGACGGGGCUUCAUUGGAGAAUGGGCCCAAGUACUUGACACGGUCAGGACUGCACCAUGGGCUGCCGGAUGACACAUUUUUGGACUUGGCUGCGGUUUUGCGCAUGGUGAUUCUGCCCUCACCGAGGAGGUUGGAUGUAGAAGAACCAAGCUGUGAGAAGGGGAGAGAGCCAUUGUUGAAGCAGCCAUAUGAGAAAAUGAAAGUGUUUACGAGUGUGUAGAGGGCCGAGUGAUUGUUAUGUUUUGCAUAGAGAAGCAUGGUGGGUAUUUGUAUAGGUUUGAUGCUAGAAAGUCGUUAUCUUUCUGCUAUCUUCAUCCCUUUUCUCACUGGUGAAAUGAAGUUCAAAGAGUUUCAAUCCUUUGAUCAAUUCCAGUUGGCAUGAUAGGCUCCAGUUAUUUAGUUCCACAAAGAUAGCAAUUGGAAAAUAGUUAUGCUUUGAUUUCUGACCAAGUAGAAUUAGCCCUACGAACAUGGCCGUCUUUUUGCAAUAAUGAUCAUAAUGACUCGAUUUCCAGUUGGUUUGAUAUGCACCACCAGCAUAACGUACGUAUAGAUACCAUAGAACAUCAAAGGAGAAAGAAUAAUGAAUUUUUCGACUAGAAAUGAGGAUGUUAAAACUAGACACAUGAUUACAAAAAUCUGAAAUAACAUUAAGAAUCUCUAUAAUUAAGGAUACAUUCAACUAAACAUAAAUUAGAAACAAAAUAUUACUCUAACGACGACUCAUUUGGCAUAUGUAAACCUUCAGACCAAUGUUCUAAAAAAUGCUAGGCGCUAGUCGGGCGGUAGAGGUGAAAUUUUGAAACCAAAAACCGAAAAAAAACCGAGCCGAAAACCAAACCGAAACUGGAAAAAACCAAACCUAAUUAAGAAAAACCGAACCGAACCAAAUUAGUUUGGUUUGGUUUUUGGUUUCGGCCCUUGAAAAACCGAACCGAACUGAAAAACUGAAUAUCCCUAAAACGACGUCGUUUUUUGUCUUUAUUUUCAUAUUAAAUAUUUGAUUUGAACAAUAUGAUUUUUAGGUUUUAUGUUCUAUAUAAUUAUCUGUUUGUCUUUUCUAAUAUUUUGCUUUUUAUUUUCAUUUUAUGUACAUAUAGAAAUGUUUUAGGUGUCGUGUAUGCAAAGUAUAGAGAGUGAUAUGUUACCUCUAAAAUCGAAGACCUUAUUAUUGCGAGCUUUAGAUGACAAAUUCUAAUAUUUAAUUUAUUUUUCUCUUCUUUAUUCAAAUUUAUGAUUUUUAAAAUUUAAAAUUCGGAAUUUAUUUGGAUGAACUUUAAACUAUGGAGUCUAUAUGUUGUGUUCAAGAUGAACUUACAAGUUUUAAAAUUAUGGUUUCAUGGUGUGCUAGUGUGGUCAAUUCUCAAUACUUUCGAAAUUAUUGAGUAUUAAACUUUCAAAGUAUCUAUUUGGUUUAUAAAUUGUUGGUUUGUUGAAGAAAUCAUUGUCAAAAAUUUUAUUGAUAUAUUAUAUAUGCUUAUAAAAAAAAACUAGUAAUGGAAGAAAAAAAAGACCUAAAAUACGAUAAUUUUUUACCAAGGCAAAAGCAUACAAAUUUUAAGAAAAAUUAUUUUAAAAAAGAAGAAAAACAAAAAAAAAACUGAACCAAACCACGGUUUGGUUUGGUUUCCGGUUCAAGGUCUCAAAAAAUACCAAACCAAACUGAAUUUUUUAUUCGGUUUGGUUUCAGGUUUUAUGUGAAAACCAAACUCACCCCUAUCGGGCGGACAGCCGGUGACUAGCGCUUAAACGGGUCAAUCGGGAGAUUAAUCAGUUUUCUAACUCUCUAGACGGAAACAGUGAAGCACCGCCUAACACGUAGGCGUGGAUUAAUCGGCUAUAAGCGGAGAUUUUUAAACCAUUGCUUGAGACAACAACUAGUCCUUAAAACUUGUAUGACGAAAUUGACUGUGGCUCAAAUUAUAAGGAGCUACAUUUAGAAUAUCUGCUGCUAUGGGGCAAGUAAGCAAAACAUGGGAAGUAUCUUCAUAAGGACAUGGGCAUGAUAUGCAUCAAGUAUCACCUGUAUAACCCUUUGUAGUAAGUGCACGUACCUCUCAUUGGCAGUCGGUUAAAGCAAGCUUUCCAGAAGCAAAUACGCACCUCCUCGGUACUUUUGUUUUCCACAAUCGUUUCUGCUAUAAGCCGUUUUUAUGGUCAUGUCUUUUUUUUUUUUUUUUUUUUUCUGUUUUAGGUAGAACAAAAUUUUCUUGCCUUGCUUUUUUUUUUCAAUAUGAUAUUUGUUUGCUCAAUACCAUUUUGGUCUAGUGACAUAAGUCUCUCCUUGUAAAUGAGAAGUCGUGAGUUCGACUCAUAGUAUUGUAGCAUAUUAUUGUGCGUUUGAUCCAAAAAUAAAAUAUGAUCUUUAUUUGGGAUCAUAGCGUUUUUUUGCUUUUUGCUUCAAUAUGCAUGUGGACAUUUUAUGUACUUAUAGGCUCAAUUAUGGUGUGAGCUGAAAUAUGUAGUAGGAGUGUUACCUGUACGUGGAUUAUUUGAUCUUAUUUACCCUCUUUACACAAGACAAUGCAUUGAUUCAUGAUGUAUCAUUUAUUUGAAUGGAUUGGAAUAUCUUCUUUAAUUCAAAAAUUAAUUAAAGAUCUCUUUCCUUAAGAUUGUGAGCAAACUUUUGCAUUUAUACAUAAUUAAUGGCCACUAUGAGCAAGUAAUAUUUAUUUUCAUUACCUAUUAAAGUUCAUUCAUCGCUAUAUAAGCAUGGAUGUAGCAAGAAAACUCCUAUAGUUUAUUCUAAGCCUGAGCCAGAGAUAAAAUGAUGAGAAAAGCAUUGUGGCAGCUCUACUGUUUUCUGCUUUUCCUUGUCCUAGCGCAUUGCAUUCUCCAUUGUGGCAGCCACCCUGUUUGGGGAAGAAAGUAUUUCGUCCGUAUUGUUAACAAUCUCGAAAACAACGAAGUGCUUAACUUUCAAUGUAAAUCCCUAGAUGAUGUAAUUGGUCCGCGUACUCUUCCUCCAUUUGGUGAAUUUGAAUUUAAAUUUCACUUCGGCCCUGAUACAGUGUUUGAAUGCUCUACGUGGUACUCAAAUCGCAUGGCUAAUUUUACAGCAUGGGAACCAAUUGUUCAACCUUUAUGAGGCGGGGCGCAUUUAAUUUAACUAUAUACUAAAGUAUGGUUUACUGUUCAUAAUCACUGUUCACAUCACAUGAAUAGUGCACUGUUUGGUGGGUGUGAUUCUGUUUAUGCCCUCUGUUUCUAAAAAACCACGAAAUUACCAUUAACCCUAGAUAUAUGAUUGUCUUCUAUAUAAUUAGUUGUUGUUGAGGAUGUUGUGGGUUGGGAAGUAAUUUUUGAACUCUUAUCUUCAUUACCGUGUCUCAAUUUUUUUUUUUUUCAUAGAUCUCACAAAGGGUAUUGUUAUCGAAGUCAAUCUAAAAUAGGGUAGUGGUAUCAUAGACCAAGGUUGAGCAAGUUUAUUUUCUUAAUUAUUGAGGUGAAACAAUUUUGGUUCUAUUUUAGCAACGGAAUAUUAAUUGAAGUACAAAUAUCUUUGAUUUGGCCAAAGAAAUUAUCUGGUUGCAAACCAACUCCUAAUUAACAAAACGUACUAAGUUAAUUUAAAUAUCGUGUGAUGAAGUACUAUGUUAUAUAUACUAAUGCAAUAUAUUUGGUUUUUGUUUUGUUUACUUUUAAUUUACUUGGUUUCUCAUCUUUGGUUUUAGUUUUGUUUACUUUCAAUUGAGUUGGUUCCUCAUUUUUUGUUUGGUUUUUAUGUCAAGUUCUCAUCUUUGACAUUUUGAGAUCAGUCUCUUUAGGAGCUUGAGAUAAAUAUUCUUUUCAGUUAAUUAAUCACUUGCUUUGUGUGUGUGUGUGUGUGUGUGUUUUGUUUUUUUUUUUUCUUUACUNUAGUAUNAUAUANCUUUAUUAGUUAGUUUUUAGUUUUUUUUUUUUUUUUUUUUCCUAUCUUUAGUUUCCUAUAAAUCAAGUUUUCUAAAAAUUGCGUUUUUGGUGAAAAACAGUUAAACAAAUAUGAGCAUUUUGUAUAGUCAAAACUAGAGCUAUAUUUUCGAUCAUACUGCUUCAGAUAAGUUGUUCUAUUUUGUGCACUUACAAGACAUUUACUAUUUUGGAUAGGUUACAACACUAGAUGUUUUGUAUUGAAGUUCUAUGAAGUACAUAUCAAAAACUUUUUCAUCAAUCAACUGAAUCAUUAACCAGUUUUAUAAAUAUACACCGCGCCAAGGCGCGGGUAUCAACUCUAGUUGUAUAUACAGUGUGUGAUCUGCUACUGUGUUCAGGUACAACAUAGCAACUCGACGAUAUGUAGGAGUCAUUAAUUUUUGGACUGUAGUACCAUGAAAAUGUUUGGGACAAAUGUAGUUUCAAACAAGAAAUAUUUAUAAGCUACAAGUAUGUUUUUUUAUUUUUUAUUUUUUUUAUAUAUGAAUAAAGGGCUGGUGCGGCUGUUUUCAAGCCUUCAUUAAUGAAACUGUCGAAUACAAGAGGGGCAUAUAUAAAGCCUAAACCCCUGAUUACAAAGACCCAAAAUAAUAUCGAGAAUCUCUAUAAAAUACAUGUAUUCUGAUAAACACCAACUAGCAAAUAGUACUACCCUAAAGACGAAUAUAUUUGCUUUGUCAUAUCGGUGACAUAAUGGAAAGAUCACUAGAUAUGUAACACGAUUACUUAUCCUAAUGUCUGAUAAAGAAUAGUACACAAGAAGUUAAUUAGCAAAGAAUAUUAGAAUACUUAUAUAUACACCAAGUUCUAAUACCAAACGUGAUCGAUCCAAUUUUUUUAUUUUUUUGAUGAAAGGGAUUGUAGUAAUCAAACUGGGCACAAAUUAUCUACCCAAACUACAGGAUUUGGAGCUGCAUAUGUUGUACUAGCCAAUCUGUGCGCCACUGUAUUGCAAGUUCUACUACCCAUGAGAGAGAGUCAUGGAUGUCACAAAGUAACCCUUCCAGCCCUACAUAGGUACCUUGCGUAUAGGAGAUAACCAAAAUUGCCUCUAGACAAUCUGUUUCUAUGAUAGCACAUACACAAUGUUUUCAAAAGUUUUAGUCCUUCUUUGAUAGCAUAUACCUCCGCCUUCUUUGCAGAGACUACUGGGGCAAUAGGAAUGACCAAAGCUGCCUUGAAUUUUCCUUGAUUAUCCCUGAGUAUCCCUCAAGUGCCUCCACGAAGAAAUGUUGGAAGAAAGCUACCAUCCACCAUGAGUUUGGUUUCCAUUUCUUGUGUUGUAGUUGGGGAGUCUGCCUUACUGGAGGUUGUAUUUGAACUUGUUGGUUUUCAUUGAACUAGGCCAUUGCCCAUGCUUGUACUUCUUGUGCUGUUUGAUGCUUUUCAUUCCAUAGUAUAUUGUUUCUGUUAGGCCAAAGAGACCACAAGCUGAUGAGAAGUUUGGCAAAGAGCUCCUUUGGCAUAUGUAAACCUUGAGACAACAACCAGUCCUUAAAACUUGUACGAGGAAAUUGAAUGUGGCUCAAAUUAUAAGGAGCUGCAUUUAGAAUAUCUGCUGCUAUGGGGUAAGUAAGCAAAACAUGGGAAGUAUCUUCAUAAGGACAUGGGCAUGAUAUGCAUCAAGUAUCACCUGUAUAACCUUUUUUAGUAAGUGCACGUACUUCUCAUUGGCAGUCGGUUAGAGCAAGCUUUCCAGAUGCAAAUACGCACCUCCCCGAGUCCCCGUAAUUUUUGCUUUCCACAAUUGUUUCUACUAUGGGUCCGUUUUUUUUUUUUUUUUUUUUUCUUAGUUUCAGGUAGAACAAAAUUUUCUUGCCUCUUCACAAAAACAUUUCUUGCCUUGUUCGUUUUUUUUUUUUUUUUUUUCAAUAUGAUCUUUGUUUGUGAUCAUAGCGUUUUUUUGCUUUUUGCUUUAAUAUGCCUCUGGAUAUUUUAUGUACUUAUAGGCUCAAUUGCGAUGUGAGCUGAAAUGUGUAGUGGGAGUGUUACCUGUACGUGAAUCAUACACAAGACAGUGCAUCGAUUCAUGAUGUAUCCUUUCUAUUAAGAAAAACAUAAGGGUCUUAUGACUUCUACUUAGUUGCUGAUUCAUAGAAUUAUUACCACUCUUAGGCUCAGUUUAGGAUUGCAUUUUUGGGUUAAAUCCUGCUUUUUCUCACCCAUUUAUGACUGAUAGCCUGUUUGGUAAGCAUUUCAUAUCUGCGUUCUUUUAACGAUUGCGGCCGGAAACCGCAAAAAUGAAAAGCAGCGGAGGACCUGCUUUUUCUUAUCCAGCGUUUUGUGAACGUGAAUCAAAUAGCCUGUACAUUCAUGAAAUUCCAGAAACAUCCCCACUGAAAUUCAAAAGUCAAACCCCUCGGAAUUAAUUCUCGUUCUCUUCUUCUGGGUUUCUUUCGUUUUUUGCCUUCUUUUGCAGCUCCUCAUCCCCUUGCCUUCGUACCUCUCUCUUCACAGCUAUUCACUUCUUCUUUGAUGGAUUACUGUAUCAUAUUAUUUUAUAUAUAGAUCUGUAAUUGAUCGUAAGGUGAUCGAGGUUUCCAUCGAAUCGCAUACACUUCGUAAUUUGAUGAGAAGAACAAAAGAUCCAUAUGAGUCAAAAGAUCUGUAUCUAUUUUUGAAAUUCUUUGUUUUUGAUAUCAUGUUUACCAAACAUUGUAGCAGUACUUAUUUUUACCUCAACACUUUCAAAUAUAUGAUUUACCAAACAUUAUACCGAGAUUUUUUACAACAGAUUAUUUUUACAACAGAGUUAUUUUAAAGUAGAGUUUAUAUACCUCAAUAUCAAACUAGGCUUUAUUGGUGGACAUAUAACCAAAAUGACGGUUUCUGAUGUCCUAGAAAUGAAAAACAAAAAUUUGAAAGAGUGGCAUUAUUUUUUGAGCAAUUUAAUGACAUCACACAUUAUAACCUAUACUAAAGACCUAUCUCUAAUGUACCGUUCAUUUUAUUUGUCCUUAUUCUCUCGAUAAAUUUUUCAGUAUUUCCGAAAGACCAUGUGGCAUUGCCUGGUUAUCCAAGCCUAUGAGACGUUGACACGUGACACUUUUUAGACAACUCGCAUCAAGGUUAAUUCAUUUAGUUUUCAACUGCAGUAAAACAAACCCCUCAACUAUCGCCGUUAAGUGAUAGUGUGAUAAAAAAAUGUAAAUCUCUGAAUUUUGUUCGUCCUCUCGCCGUCUGCCUUUCUCUUUGUGUUCUUUUCAGCAGAAGCACAAGGAAGCUUGUGGGUUCAGUUAAGCCUUGUCGUCGCCCAUAAGAUCCACUUUGUCCAACAAUUGGGAUUUUCAGUUCCCCGUAGCUAUUACCCGAUCUCCUCCACGCGUCCCCAGGUUUCUUCUCUUCUCUUCUCAUUUCCCAAUUGUUUUUCUUGCUCUUUGGGUCUUGCUAGUUUUUGUUAAUUUUGGUUAGAGAGUUGAAUGAUUGUGAUCAGACUCACUUUUCGGAGAAGAAAAGAAAAUUGAAAAUGGGAGAACUGAGUUCAAAGAAAGAGAAUUUGGGAAACGAAAUCCGCACAAACCGACGGAGGUGAGUAUUCGACGAUUUUGGUUAGUUAUAUGGAAUUGAUGAAACUUCGACGGCUCUCCCUUCUUGAAUAUGUUGUUUAUGGGAUUUGAUUUCUACACCAAAGUGAGGAAAAUUCUAUUAAGCUAUCAUAUAUUCAUAUUGGCUAUGAUUGAAUGGUACAUGACCAUAAUAGCUUGAAUUCCAGUAAAAGCUUUGUGGAUUUGGGAUUUGAAGUUUGAGGUUUUAUUUUUAUUUUUUGGAUUUGAAUUUUGCAGUUUUUGAAAUUUUACAUGUUAGUUGAUGUUGUUAUCCUUUUCAUGUUAAAGUCCAAUGUAUGAUUUAGCAGGUUAGAUGAGAUAUUGGAUUUGCUGAACCUUCAGGUAGUUAGAAAAUAUGCCAAUGUCUCCAAUGGAGGGGUGCCAUUUAAUUAGAAAGUAAACAUCCCACAUUGUUAUCAGCCCUAGACCACCAUUUUACACAUUUCAGACCAACAAUUUGAUUGCUUGUUUUCUCUGCUAUGUACUCAAAUCUAUUACAGCUACUGGGAUAGCUGCAUCACCAAAACUAGUUCUUUGUGUAUCACAGCUUAUGACUCUAAUUGUUUUACCAUCAAGGUCACACAGAAUACUUGAUUUUGGAUUAGUCAUUUACUUAUCCAUUUUGUCAAAUAUGGGUUCUGCUGAGAAAUGCCAGGAUGGCAAGUAAUUAAGCAACAAUUUUUGGAUGAUCCUUCUGAAACAACUAUAUACAUAGCUGGUUUGCAGGCUGCAUGGAAGCUUGGUGCUGCAUUCAAAUUGGUUAUCAUUUGAUUAUGACACUGCGUCUAGUAUCUGCUAAGUUUAUUGGUCUUUAGGUUCAAAAGUUUCGUUUUAUCGAAACUCUUAUGAGUUUUAUUUGGUUUGCAUAUAGUUCUCUUUUGAAGCUUGUAUUAUAUCUAAAUAUUUCUCAUGUUCUCUUUUUAGAUCUACCCCAAAUCCUGUUUUUUCUUUUUUUGAAUUCUGGGUGCACAGGCAGUGAGAUUGUAGUUGUCAGUGACAAACUAAGGAUAAAUUGGAAGAGCUUUAAGGUAUCUCAAUCAGUGAUUUCCUGAAUUACUUCAUUUGGAAGAGCCUUAAGAUAACUUGGUUAUUCUGAUUCCUAUAUGAUGUCUGAUAAUGUGUGGACAUGGGUGCAGGUUGAACCGUAACAGAUGAGGAUUGGCAUAGUUGAGUUUGAGGAUGAUGUGGUACUUGACAGUGAGGGUGACGAAGUUAAUGGAAGGUGACUCAUACAAGUAUGUCUCUGGACAAAAAGUGCACUGCAGGUUUGUAUAUUUGCUUCUUCUUUUUUUUGUUGUAUUUUGGUUAAUUUUUUGAUAGCAGUUGGCGUUGAACGUGUUGAUGAUAUGAAGUUUUUUUUCUUAAUGAAUGCUUGAGGAAGUAAUCUCUGCAAGACUUUGCAUUUACUAAUUUGAAUGACAAGUUUCUUGAAAUAAUUUUCAUACUACGGAGGAGUAAAGGCCGAAAUAUUUGUGCUGCUUGCAGAAUUUAGCUACAUCGACUCCCAUGAUCUUGGUUGGUCGCAUUACUGUAAGAGAAAGACAUUAGAUAAAUGGCUUUCAAACAUAUAUAUGAAGAUAGCUAGCAUCUAGGAUAAUAACAGGGUUUCAAAACUUUUCAAAUAUCGAUAAAAAACUGUGUGCUUGGUCAUAGUUAAGAUCAACUCAGUUAAAAUUGCAUAUGUGAAUGUGUAAAAUUCAAUCUUUGUGCAUAUACCAUAGGGACCAUUAGCACUCAAUAUUCAAUGAUAUAACUCAAAACAUGCAUCUCUCACAAGAAGUAAUGUUUUCAGCCAUUAACGUAAAACCUGAAGAGGAUAGAACUAUUAUGUUUCGAGUCACUUUCGUUUAACCAAAAACUAAUUAGGUCUCAUAGCUAGAAUACCAGCAUGAUGAAGAUGCCAAGGUGCAUUUGAGCAGCAGAGCAGUGAACUCCAGAUGCAAUGAACACCCAAAGUGAUAAUUGUAGAAAUAUAAUCCAUGUUACUUGAAGCAUUUUUCUCCUUAUGUGCAUAAACUAAAUGUCUAUUUAAAAGAGCUCUUACUUUGCUUUAUUGAAGGAUAUAGAUUGUGUCUCAUGUAUAUCGAUCUUUUUUUUUCUUCAUCACAUUGCUUAAUGAGCAUGCACCUUUGUUGUAUAGUCCAAUGGACUAAUUACAUUUUAUUUUUAGUUACAUUCAUGAAAUAUGUAGGAACCUCUAUGCAAUACUCUGAACAAGAAACAUGACAAGAAGUAUGUUCCAAUUUUAUAUGCUAAUUUUAUUGUUCCUUAUGUGGGAUAGAUGGGGUUGGAAGAAUUGUUGGACUGCUAAUCGAUCAGAGGAAGGCCCCAUCAAAGUGGAUGUCUAACCUGUUACUAGAGCUCUUUAAUUUGAUGAUGUAAACUCAGGUUGUCUGAGAGGGAUUUCCCCUUAGUGUUUGUUUGUUUCGUAUCAAAAAAAAGAGUGAAUGUCUAACGCGGACCAAACAAAAGUGGAGGUGUCAUCAUGCAUCUGGGAAUCAUACACCUGCUAAAUUUAUGCUUCGAAUUUCCAGUAUUUUUCCGUGUCUCAACAAUUGUAAAGUUCAUUCGUAUCAAAAAAACAAUUUGUAAAGUUCAUUCUUCAUAGAGUUGUGAGCAGCAUAUUGUAUCAUGAGGAAUUGAUGGGCUCGGAUGCAUAAUGAUUUACGUUUGCAGGAGCCAGGAGAGUUUGGUAUGCCGUUGGAACUUGGAAACCAUGUAGGUAACCAGUUUUGUUGGACAAAGAGGAUGACAAACUCUUAUUUGAAAUGGAAAGCUUUGGUAAACUAUUCAAACCAUGAGAUAUCAAUGUAGCACAAGACUCAUUUAUAUAUCCGACUUUGCCGUGUGUAGUUUGUAUAUAGAUUAUAUCCUUGCUAUGAGGAAAAAAAAAUAUAUAUCCGGCGUAAUUGGGAUAGAAAACGAUCCCCGCGCGGGAAUACCAGCUAGUACAUGGACUAAUCCUUAUAUGAACAAUUUCUAUUCGGAAAUCUAUUACAUGUAAAGCUUCAGACAUGGCAUAAUUCUAGUAACCGAAGAAGUGGCGUCUUAUAUUUAUCUGAAGCUCGUCAGGCAAAUUUUCCAAAAUACGUUCUUCAUUUACAUCCGUGGCAGAAUAUUGUUCGGCAUUUCUCACUUGCCUUCUAAACUCUUCAGGCAAGUUUCUGUACCUCAUCCACGCCUCAACAUCACGCCUCCUCAUCAACAUAUCAGACCUCCUAAAAAACCAAAAGAAUGAGAAAGGCUGAGAUGUAUAUAGAUUCUUACUAUCAGUAACCUCUUUCUCUAACAAAAAAAACUCUAGAAGAAAGAAAGUGGUAAUAAAGUCACGAUCAAACAAUAAAAAUGUGGUCAGCAUAUAGAUUCUUACUUUCAGUAACCCCUUUCUCUCAAUUAAAAAAAAAACUCUAGAAGAAAGAGAAUGGUAAUAAAGUCAAGAUCAAACAAUAAGAGUUAAGAAACAGAUUGGACAAAAAAAAAUAAAAAUAAAAAUUAAGUACCUUUGUCCAAGAGACUGGAGAAAAUUUUGCAUGUUUCCGAUCAGAAGAGCAAGGAGGAAGAGUCCCAGUCCAAUAAUUACCAUCGUAAAGAUAAUUUCACCAUUGUUAUAGCUUGGAGUUAGAUUUCCUCCCAAAGUGCUGAUUUGCUUAAUAAAUCACAGGAGAUAAUAUGUCAGCAUAAAGGUGUAACUUAUUUAUGAAAUCAUAAUAAAAUAAAGGGAAGUUAUCAGCAAUUAGAAUGUAAGGUACCUGAAACCCCCAAAACAAUGAGUAUAGAUAUUUAGUAAUGAUAUGUCCCGUAGUGAUAUUGAUAAUUGGCGCAUAGAUUCCAUAUGAGAAGUCUCCAUUGGGACUAAAACAAAGAGCAGCCUUCUCAUUUAGUCUCCGUUUAGUAAUUAACUCAUCCAGGGAAAGAUAACGAGCAUGCCAACAAUCUAUUAAGUUCGGGCAUGACUGCAUAUUAGAAUUGUGGCAGGCGUCUUGAAGACAUUGGUUAACCCUCUGGAACAAGAAAAAAAAUACAAAUGUUCUCAGUGGCAUAGCCAGAAACUAUCACUAGAAGGGUCAAAAUUUAAACAAUAAUACUAUUGCCUGUUAAAAAAAAUUAAAAAAUUAAAAAACUAUUGAAUGACAUAAAAAUGUAUGAAUUAUUACAUCAAUAAUUAAAAAGGACAAAAAGUAGGUUUUCCUAAAGCAAUUAUAAUUGUUCACGACAAUUACUCAUAUUUUGAAAUAUUUUCAUGAUGGUUUCACCGUCAAAUAUAUCUUUCUCAAUAUAUGUAAUCAUGAACAUGUCUCCCAUUCGGUUUCGCAAAUCACUUAUAUAACCGUCAUGGCAAAAAAUGCUCUUUCUACAGUGACAAUUGCAACUGGAAGAAUCAGUGUCAAUGUUAUGAGCAAGUAAACUAACGGAUCAACCUGGUUUUUCUGUUUCAACAAUUUUUUCUCGAAGCUCACUAAUUUCUUUCAUUUUUUUCCAAAGUACAUUCAUUGGAUCUAUCUCUAUUCUGAAGUACAGCGACAAUUGCAACUGGAAGAAUCAGUGUCAAUGUUAUGAGCAAGUAAACUAACGGAUAAACUUGGUUUUUCUGUUUCAACCAUUUUUUCUCGAAGCUCACUAAUUUCGGUCAUUUUUUUCCGAAGUACCUUCAUUGGAUCUAUUUCUUAUUUGAAUAGCUUGAGAUGCUGUCAACUGAUCCGUUGCUUUCUUUACAAUAUUUUUGAGAAAAUUUUCAUAAUUUCAAAUNNNNNNNNNNNNNNNNNNNNUUCAUAAUUUCAAAUAUUAAUUCUAAAGGUUUUGACUUGUUGUUUGUAGGGAGAAAUGUUUAAAGAACAAAAAAAGGAAUUACAGUUGAGAAGAAUUUAAAGAGCAUGAUAAGAGACAAAUAAAUUGUAGAAGCUUGAAUUUAUAUAGACGCAAGGUAAAUCAUGAAUCGAUUAGGAAGACAAAAAUGAAUAAUAAAUCUGUCCAAAUAUGAGAUGAAAGCAAACUUCUUUCCGAAAACUAUUUUCUUACUCCUAUAUUGAUUAGUAAAAAACAUGGGGUUAGAACUUAAAAGCUUUUCUGUCGACAAGGGUGGAGUAGUCUUGUCCAAACCAAGACAAGAUUUGGAAGGAGAUUACAAAUAUUUAAGACAAGUCUUGUCCAUAAGGGUCAAAUCUUGUUUCAAAGUGUAAUAUAUAUAUAUGUUGCCCCAACCAAUAGAAAGUUAGCUUAAAAUGUUAGAGGGUUCAAUUGAACCCUCUCGCCCCAUUGUGCCUACGCCCCUGAAUGUUCUAUUAAUUUGUUUUGACUUUAUCAUAAUUAAUUGCAUCAUAAAUUUCUUGUGAUUAUUGACUUUGGUAUAUAUUUAUAUAUUAUACUCAUUAGGUUUUUUUUUUUUUGAUCAAAUGCUCAUUAGGUAUUUAGUAAAAAUUCUGAUAUUUCUUUAAAAUAAAAAUAAAAAUUCCAAUAAAUAUGAAACAAAUAAAAAGAUAUACAAUUUAAAGACGACGUAAACCUUGUUAGUUGACUCAUAUUUAAAUUAUGGCAAUUUGUGUAAUUCUUUUGAAAAAAAAAAAAAAGAAAUCUAAUAUUUGAUCCUAGUUGGCAAUAAUUGGGUGUAAUUUAAAACAAUUUUAUGAGUGAGUUUAAUAUAAAAUGUGAUUUGAAUAUUAAGUGUAAAAUGAAAUGCCUCAUCAAACAAAUACGGGGAAAUAUGCAUCAUUAGGUUAGAUAAAAUGAAAUCUCCACACACCUGUAAGCCAAAGAGGUACCACCAUGACCCAAUGACAUGGGCAACCAGCAAAAAACUGAGUGUGUUUACAAUGAAAUUCGUCCAAAUUGACCCGAAUACAAAGAAUCCAUUCAAUGAUCGACCAGCAAGAAGGGACAAAACCCUAUACACCCUAGGAAAGUAUUGAAGAAAUAUUGCCAGGUGUAGAAGAUUCUUGGUCUCAUUUGUUCGUAGAGAAAAUCUUCCGUGCAACAGCCGCACCAGCUGACAUGUGCGACCAGCCGACCAACAAGUGCCUUGAUUUUUUCCACGCCAGCAAACUACGAAAAAGGCUCCAAGUUUAAAGUUGAAAUUUCAUUAUCCCGCCGGAAGCCAGAGUUAUAUUUAAAUUAGGAUUUCUAGGUGGUUAUUCUAAUCCAGGGAAGAACAAACGCCUCACUUUUCAGAUUACGGUCUCCUCAUUCCUCCCACUCACUUUUCUCCCACCGAUACUGAUAAUUCAUCAUCUCAUUUCCUACCGUUUCCAAAUUCAUGAACACAGAUCUUUCUAGACCCGAUUCAUGAACAUAGAUCAUGCUCGACCCGAUUCACGAACAGAGAUCUUUCUCAACCCGUUUAGUUCAUUCUCAUCGGUCAGGUAUUAUCUUUCUAUGCUGAAAUUAUGUGGCACCUCUUAUCUUCAAUCUUUUAUUCUUUGUGAGUGUAUCGUGUGGAUGGGAUGGACUGGAGAGAUAGAUAAUAGUUGAAAAGAAGACCAUGGGGAUGAGUUGGUUUUAGUCUCCAAAUUGAGGUUUAGGAGGUGGGUCAUUUUCUUGGAAUUCCAAUUUUUUGAGGUUUGGGAGGUGGUUUUUUUUGGGUUUCAAUCUGGACAUCUUACAUGCUUUGCCAUGGAAAUAGUACAUGCUUUGUUGUAUAUAGGAAUGAAUGAUGUGAACCCACCUGGAUUACUAGUCUGAUAGUCUCCGUUUGCAUAGACUUUUCUUAAUUCAAUUUUAGAUGCACACAGUUCUUUUUCCUGGAGCUUGCUUUCAGGUACUUGGAUAUUUCACACUUUCUCUAUGUUGGUCUUUUCCCUUUCAUGUAUUUUUCAGUUUGUUAGUUAUAGGAAGUGAUCAAGCACAUUCUUUGUCAUGGCUAUUUGGGAGGUUAACAGUGUCUCACUGUCUCUAUUCUCUAAAUUAGUUAAAGAUGCUUUUUGUUCAGAGCUUUUUAUUGUGUCUUUAAUUAGACAAAGAUAGUUUCUUUAUAGCAGUAGUGAACAAGGGUUUAAAGUAGAUGAUUUUCUUUUGAGUUUAUUGUUUUGUGCGUGUGUUGCAGUGUUAGAUAUUAGUAGAUAAGCUAAAGGUGAUGACGGAUCAGCCAAAAGCCAAGAGGUACAAAAAUCUCUGCUCACGGUUUACAACUAAUAAUACUCCAUCAAGUGAUAGUGACGAUGAGAUUGAGAUAGGGAGUGGGAGUAGAAAUGUGACUGUGGAUUGGCAUUGUUGACAGUUUUGGUACUCUAUGUGCGUGCAUACAAGGAAUGAAAGCAUUUCGAAGAGAUUGCCGAAGCUACAGAAUUCAAGAGAAUCACUUUAUAUUGUAUCAAUCUAUUAGCUCCGAUCGAUUAGUACUUUAUUAUGAUACAUUGUGGUGUAAUUUUGACACAAGUAAUUUUUCAUUGUGUUAAAUUUAGUUGUUACAAUUAUAAUCAAUCAAAACCUUCAUUUGACAUCUCUUUUUCAUUGUCUUCCAUUUUGUUUCAGUAGAAUGUACCUUGAGUAACAUUAUCAUAUCUUGAUCAGAGGCUUGGUUUCAUCUCUGGAUUUUGUUGCAUUAUUACCUUUUGGUUUGUGUCAAAGAUUAAAGAUAUGGUUAAAAAUUGAGAAAGAAAAAAGCUGAUGGAAAGAUACUUGAAUUUGUGAUGCUUAAACUACUAAGAUAUACUCAAUGAUCGAAUGUAAUCAUCAUAAAAAAAUAUUGUAGCACAGGUUACAUACAAAAGUUCGAUCAAAACAAGCUCUAAACAUGUCUUCGAUUCAGUUCUUAUAAAAUGCUCAUGUUAGUACUACAUCAUGAAACUUGCACACAUGACUUCAGUUCUCAUAAAAUGGUCCUCUUAAUACUGCAUCAAUGAAACCUGCACAAUUUAACUUCUGUAACUAUACUGUAAUUCAGGUUCAAUAUCAUCAACUCAAGCAUAUAAUAUUAAAAUACAGAACUAACCUCACUGAGGUUGUUGUCUAAGUGUAGGAUCAAUAGUCAAAGUCGCAGUUGGUGCAAGAUUCAACCCUGUAGUAUUCUACAAAUAUAGAACUAGUUUAUUUUCAAUAUAGCCAACUAAAAUGUAUGAAUGUACUAAGAUUUCAAAUAUACAUAUACCUGGUUUGAGAAAGGCAUCUGACCAUAACUAACAUGUGAAUGAGGAUGCUCAAAAGGCCAACUUAAAUUUCCCUGAAAGAGAAUGACAUGUAUGAAUAUGUUCAGUCUGUAAUACAUAAAGAAACAUACAUAUAAAGCUUCAAAAUGCAGACCUGAUUACUGAAUGUUGGGGUGUUGGGUACUCCAAACUGAUUACUCACUGUUGGGAUGUUAGGUACUCCAUACUGAUUACAGAAUGUUGGGAUGUUAGGUACUACAAACCGAUGAUUAUUGAAUGUAGACACAUCAGUUGGAGCUUUUGGAUCAUUAUUUUCUUGGUUUUCUUGUUCUGCAUCAGUAAAAAUUUCAGCUAUACAAAGUACACAAAACAAGAACUAUCAAUAUAAGCUUAUUUAAGAACUAUAUAAAAUAUGUAUGUACCUUUUGUUCUCUUCUUCCUUUGAUUUGUCUCCAUCACAUCUUUGAUUCUACUAUUUUUCAUUCCCUUAGUCUUUGCAUUUGGUGGGUUCAAAACUAGUGUCUCAUUACUAGAAAUGGUAGAGCCAGACUCAGCACCAAAAUUCUUCAGAUUUUCCAACACGUAAAGGGUGUCCUUGUCUUUUUCAAGACGCUUCAUUGCCUCUGUUAACAAAUGCUUGACAAUUUUAGUACCUAAACUAGUUAAUGAGGCUAUGUCAUACACAUUAUUUCCUUCAUGCAUCAAUUCGCUGAGGCGCAACACUCUAGCAGUCUUUAAAUUCUCACUUGUUCCUACACUUGUGUCACUGCUGACCACUACCGUACCCCUUUCUUUGCCUCUUUAGUCCACCUCUUCAAUAUAUACUGAGUUGGUAAAGUUGUGAUAUUAUUUGUAUCAAACACCUUCAAAGCAUGACGACACAAGAUCCCAACAGACUUAAAUGACUUACAAGAACAAGAUAUGCUCAAGGAUGUAGAGUUGUAUUCAAUCUUGUGCACACUUUCACGACCAUCUUCAAUUGCUUCAUAUACAUAAACUUGAUCUUUACUGGAAACUUCUUUUAGUCUAACUCCCAUACAACUAUAGAAUUCUGUUUCAAAAAACUGAAAAAUUUUGUUAGUAUAAACCUUGGCAGCACUGCUUAACAUCUUAGUCCAUACUUUUGGACGACGUGCACCAUUUUUGCUACGGUAGUCAUCUUCUAACUCUGUUAAACGCAACUCUUCAAUCUUUUUCUUAUAGUGAUGAACAAAUUUAAUAAGCUCCAUUGUGUGUGUAGAAAUUCCUUGGAACACAUUGUUUGUACUUUCACUCCUUUGAGUAGAUCUAAUCCUUGCCGAAAAAGUGUCCAAAUUAAAUGCUGCACACCACUUCUGUCGGAGUGAAUACAACUUUGCUAGCCAAGGAUUAUUUCCGAGAUUAUAUCUACCAAUCAAGUUAUCCCAUAAAACCUGAAAUUCAAUUUCAGAACAGCACCCAUGUAAACAAUGGUUGAAUUGCUUCUUGAACUCUGGAUUUCCAAGAUAACUACCAAUUUUCUUUCGGCAUUCUUGCCAAUAUGCCAAGUGCACAAUCAAUGGGAUGCACCUGGAAACACUAUUUUAACUGCCUUUGCCAUUGCUUUAUCUUCAUUUGUGAAAAUAGUUUUUGGUGCUUUAUUUCCCAUCGACUCCAAAAAGGAUUCGAACAACCAAACAAAAGACUCUGUAGUCUCAUCUAAUAGAAAUGCACAUCCAAACACAACAUUUCUCCAAUGAUGAUUAACUCCAACUAUUGGAGCACAAAUCAGAUCAUACUUGUUUGUACGAAAUGUUGUAUCAAAGCAUAUAACAUCACCAAAACAAUCAUAAUCUGACUUUGCUCUACCAUCCCUCCAAAAGAAGUUUAUCAUUCAGCUAUAUUGGUCCAAUUGCAUUGAAUAGAAAAAGUUAGGGUCCUCACCUUGUUUGUGCUUAAAGUGAUUCAGCAAGCUUUGUGCAUCACCUGCUUCCACCAUUUCAUUCUUUUUUCUUUGCAAGUAGUUGUAGACGUCUUUCUUAGUGCACCCAACAUUUUCUGAACCACCCACUUCAUUUGCUAUGUAAAAAAAUGCUUUUGUUGCUCCUAUUCUUGCAACUUUCAUGGAAGUAAAAACUUGUCCACAAGCAUCUGUUACUUUUCGCCCAGAUCUCAAAAAUUGCCUUUCUUCAGGGUUUGCAAGCUCAUGGUUAUGAUCUGAAUUGAUAUGUGAUAUUGUCCAUAUCCCAUCUUUCACAAUAAACGAUAUCAUAGCCUUGCAACCGACUCUUGUUUCCAACUUCCUAUGUUUGGUUGGUUCAAACACAUCUUGGUCUUGUGCAAACCCUUCCUUUGAACAUACAAACUCUCGUAACCGGAUGUUAUUUGAUGCAUCUCUUCUAAUAUGUGACUUACGAACACUGAAACCCUUCCUCAAAGCAUAGGUAUUAUAUAAAUUGUAAGCCUCCUCAUCUGAGUGUACUUGAGUUCCCACUUUGAGUUCUUCAUCGUCUUCAAUUAUUUCCUCCAUUCUUUCACAAGCCAAUUUAACUCUGUAAAACACAAAAAAGUUUAAGCAAAUUUUUGGUCAAUUGCAUAGGACUUUCAAGUAUCAAUGAUCAUUAGUUAAUGAGAAAAUCUAUUAGAUUAGAAAAACCAAUCGUACAAACACCAAAUCACACAGUGAUUGAAUAAUCAAAAUCUAAAGGAUCAGUUUAAGUAUCAGUUUAUAUACAACCACUUUUAAGUAUUGGUUUAUAUACAACGUCUUCAUUACUCAUCAAUUCUUUGUGUCAAGUUCACACAGAGGAUCAUGACAAAUCCAAAACAAUCGAACCCAAAUACUCAUAAGAAAAGCAAAGAAAUACUAACCUGAAUCAAAUUGCUUAUCGAGAUGAUCUUGUAUUGAUUAAAUUGAGCAAUCAUGAGAACGAGCUAACAGGUCGAGAAAGACUGGUUUUGGUGAAUCUGAAAAUUGAUUAUCAGUAAUGAGGAGACCCUAAUCUGAAAAUUGAGUGAGAGGAACAAGAAGUCGUCCACUGUUUGUUCUUCCCCAGAUUAGAAAAACACCUAGAAAUCCUAAUUUAGCUAAAACUCGGCGGGAUAAUGAAAUUUCAACUUUAAACUUGGAGCCUUUUUCGUAGUUUGCUGGCGUGGAAAAAAAUCAAGACGUAGCACUUGUUGGUUGGCUGGUCGCACAUGCCAGCUGGUGCGGCUGUUGCACGGAAGAUUUUCUCUUGUUUGUAACGAUCGCCGAACAAUCGACAACACUAUUAUCUGAACAAGAAUUUAAACCAAAAACAAGAAUAAAUCAAAUCUAAAAACCCGUCAUAUGGGGUAUCUGUAGAAAAAAAAAAAAUUAAUGACAUACUUGUAAUAAAAACAGUUAUGACUUGUAAUCUUAGUCUAUAAAGUUGGACGCACCGACUUGUAAUUGACAUUUGUAGAAUGAUCAUAUUUAAACAAUUACACAUAAGCAUAUCAAACCAAUUCAAAGUGGACAUGAGAGAAAGAGCUUACCUGAGGAACCGGUAAUACAAUUAUUAGGUCGAUUAAAAAGUUUCCAUGGAGAUAAUUUAGAGCGAUUUUUUUUGGUUGGUCUACUAUUUCUCCUGGACCAACCAUUCUAGACCUAGGAACUUCAUAAGCCAGCCUAAACUGCCAUGCAUAAGCAAUAAAAAUUUAGAAAGGCUCAAACAGACAAGAAAAAGAAAAAAACAACAAUUUAUUUAAGAUACCAAUUGAAUAAUACAGAUUUAGAAUGACAUUUUUAAACAGAAUAUGUCAUGCACUUACUUGGAUAAGCAUGUGUAACAGAUAUAUAGUCUGUCACAGUCCGUAAAAACACCAGUAGUAUGGUUUUAUGCCAGUCCAUAAAUAUGCACUUCUGAUCCUGCAUUUUAAGAAUACAGAUACCCCUCUAUUAAAAAAAGAAUAGAACGGGAAACAAAUUUACAUACUAAAGCAAUUUUCGAACGGCUGUUAUUUUUUCUUUUUCUUUUUAAUAAGAAGAAGAAAUUUCUGCUUCAAGAAUAAUGCAGUCUCAAAAUUUAAUGCAAACAUAUUUUAAAGUGAUGACAUCAAGUGAGAGAAAAACAAAGAUAUAGAAAGAGAGAAAGAAAAAAUAGAUUGUUCCGCGCUCGCAGAGGCCGCCGGAAUGGUAGCUUCUAGCAGAGGCAACCGGAAUCAAUAGGAGGAUCGGAUACCGUUGUGGGUUUUCGGGUCAAGGAACAAGGCCGAUUAGUUUGAGUUUUUCUACACCUUGUGAUAUCUCGAUAUUUCUAUUUCAAAUAAGGAAGAUUGAGAGAGAAAAUCGAGGGUUCAAGGAGGAGAGCAGAGAGCAUAUUGGGGAAGAAGAAGAUGAGAUGAUGAGGAAGAUGGAGAUCACGCGCCGUGAAAAGAAACGUUUGUGAUCCCUCACUGGGUCAACUGAAGAACCUUCGGCCGAAUAGCUGUUUCUUCUUCAACACCCUAUUUCAAUCGAAUUUGGUCGGCGCCUUUGCAGAUUUACACUCUAACACAGUGGAUUUGAGUUUUUUUGGCACCAAAUUUUGUUAGCGCGUAUAGUACAUGCGCCGUUUAGGAAAGAAGAAGACGCAUCAGAAGAUACCGAUGCCGAAGCCUCACCCUGUGAAUGGAAGAAUCUCCGACGUGCAAGAGAGAGAAAACAAGAUAAAGAUAAAAUACCAUUUCUCUCUCUCUCGUCCCCACUCCCCCAAGUGUCCAAACCCCAACUCCCCAAGUGUCCAAAUUAAUCCCUAACUCCCCAAGUACCAACCAUAGCCAGGCCGGACCUGAGAUUUCAAGGUCUGAGAUGAGUUUUAAGAAUGGUGUCCUCUAAUGACCGGAAAGCUUCACCUUGAGCAGAGGAGUUUGAGGAGACCAGUAAUGAGGAAUAAAACUGGCAUAAUGGUUUAGAAGUUUGGGAGCAAAACCCAGUUUUUAGAGACGGAGGGGCCCACUAACUUAACAGUGAGGAGAGGAAAAAAGAAGAAGUUAAAAGAUAAACAAGUGGUUAACCCUUCUCUCCUCUUCUAAACCACAAAAAUCCAGUUUUUAUUAUCAUCGACAACCAUCACUGCUCAUCAUCAUCCCCGUUUCAAACUUCUCUCUCUCCCUUCUCUUCUCUUCUAAACCCAACCAUUUCCUCUGUUUUUCAUUUCAAAAAACCAAAACCCAAACAAUUAUAGCUUUAAGCUUUAGUUUCCAUGGCUAGCAGACUUUUCUAAUCCCUCCUGCUCAAGGCAGCUACCGGAUUUUGGUGCCCCCAGAUUUUUGGGGCCUGAGGCAGCCGCCUCGUCGGCCUCACCUCAGGUUCGGGCCCAAGGAAGAAAAUUUCGGUGAUUACGGAAAUUUUGACCCUCCAAAAUAUGGAAAUUUCGACGGAAAUUUCGGGGAAAUAUCGAUUGCAGUAAAAAAAUUGAGAAAAUUGACGGAAAUUUGAAGAAAAACAAGGAAAUUUUAAACCAAACUUUAAGAGAUGUUUGUUUUCUAUAUUAUGUACUAUAUUUGAAAUGAAAACCUUGAAUAAACAUCGAUCUAUAAGGAGUUGUAGUAAGUUAAGGUGAAAAAGUUAGUGCUGAACCGUUAAUAAUUCUUAGAAGUUUACUUUAAACAUUUUUUUUUUAUGGCUGGAAACCCAAAGGAGGCUAGGUCAUCACGCUUUAUAUACAUAUGAUAUAUUUCACAUGGAAUUACAUGAGUACUUUAAAACCACGUAGAAGACCUAUGAUGUACAAAAUUUUCAUUAUCUUUAUCGUCUCUCUGUGUAGAGCCUUCAGUAUAUUGUGAAGAAUAGUCAUUAAAUAAUACCUCACCUUUAUAGAUAUAUUAAAAAUGAAUUAAGAAGUGUAGGUAAAAAAUCUUUUUUAUGGAAGUGUAGGUAAAAAAAUUAGUUGGAGAUUAGACAUUUACCUAAUUUUUUACUUUUCAAAUUAAAAAAACCAAUAUAUAUUAUAAAGAUACUAUAAUAAACAAGUUAAAUGGUUAGUAGGGUUGGUUAAGUUGUUAAUCUUGUACCAACCCGACCCAGGCUCGACUCACCUUCGCAGCAAAAUUCAAAGUCAAACAUUUCGGCAGGAAAGUAAGUUUUGCAGUGUUCAAAGUCAGGGGAAACAAUCAUUCAAAUUUGGGCGGGAAAGUGGGAAACCAUUUCAGCUUCGACUUUUCGGUGGGAUUUCAAAGUUUCGGCGAUAUUUUCGAAAUAUCGCGAUAUAUCGGAAAAUAUCGAUUAUUUCGGACGAAAAAUUCUGAGAAUGAAAAUAUAUAUCACCGUGUGAUAAAAACGAAAUUUUCGGCGAUAUUUCGACGAAAAUUUCGAUUUUUUCUUCCUUGUUCGGGCCUGACCAUAGCACAAUCGUUGUCUGCUAUUGUUGGGUCGCCGAUAUAGUUUUCUUAUUGGAAACUAUGCACUUUAUGUUAAUGCCUAGAGAACCCUAUUCCUCCAAAAAAGAAGAAGCCGGUGUCUAACAAGAAGCUGAAGAAAGAGAGGCUGAAGCAAGGCGUCUCUGCUCCAGCAGGCGAGUAAAUAUGGAAGAAAGACCGCAACUCUGCAUGCAUGUUGAGCUCACAUAUGUUGAGAGUUUGUUCUUUCAUUUCCCUUAAUACUAGAUGGAAUUGGACUUAGUAAUUGGAACCCUGUAUUGAUCUAGCAACCAGGGAGUGAGAAUGUUGUUCCUAAGACAGUUUUUAUCUUCAAAUUUUCUUUCUUAAACAAGUAAUAAUCAGACCUCAGAACUUAGAAUGAGUUACUUUGCCAAAUAAAAUAAAAAAUAAAAAAACAUAACAGAAAGAAAGGGAAGAAAAAGAAAAAGAAUAAAAAGAAAUAUUCUGAACCAUCAAUACUUUGUCUCUGUUCCUCAUGUGCUAGAAUAAACGAAAACAUCUAACUGUUUGUGAAAGAAAAAGAAAAAAAAACAUGUAAACUAAGACUAAUGCAAAAAGAAGGAAAAUAUACCUCAUGUGAAUAUAGCAGAAAGAAAUGUAGUGGAUCUACAAAAACCGCGACCAUGCAAGAUACUACAAAAAACUUGUUUUAUCUUCAAACAACUUUGUUAUCAGGUUCACAAUCCCGAUAACAUAGGGAUGCAAAAAAAAACAUGUUCCUUUAAACAAACUCAACAAAUUCUUUUUGUAUGACAUAUUUGUCUAUCGCUAAAUAUGAAAUGAGUGAAAUGUCGAUGAGGAUGAUUGUGAAGUUGUUUGGAUUUAAAUGUAUAAUGAGGUACGGAUCGGAGAGAUGGGAGAAUGGGAAGUUCGAUAUAUGUAUUAGAUGAGUGAACUCAAUGAGGAUGAAGUUGUGAGAUUUAUGAUAUGGGAAGAUCGAUGCCUUAUAUAAAGAAGAGGACUAGAGGAGUGAUGUUGAUAUCACUGGAAUCAAUAUGUUUGGCCAUGUUUUUAAGAAAUGAUUGUUUUUAGUUAGGGACAGAAAAUUUUCAUGCCUAGUUGUGCAUGUAUUACCUAGAGACACAUUAUAUAUAUGAUGGUGUGCACGGUAAAAAGGCAUAUGAUAACGACUUCAAGGAAAGCAUUCAAAUUUUCUCAAAACUAAAGUAACACUUUAUUCUCCCAUAUUUCUAUCUUCAACUCUCUUUAAUCUUUCAUUCAAUUGGAAGAUUAACAUAAGAGAUGAACCAGUCUUGGUGGACCCAUAAUCACAUCCAAGCUUCACCGAAAUCAAAUCCUCUGUCUUCCUAAGCGAGGAUGGAUCAAGAACAUUAUAUGUAAGGGAUAAUUCAAAUUCAGCACUUUCUGGAAAGCAAUCUGAGAAAUCCCCAUGGGGCUUUUGUUGGGCUUUAUCCUAUUGUCUUUCUUCAAUCUUCAUCUAUUGUUCGUCUUUGUCUUAUACCCAUCUUCUUCCGUUCUCUGAUUCUGUGCAACUUUGAUCUUUAUCUUUGUCUUAAUCUCAUCCUGUAAUAAGUUUUUGACCCACUUUCCCUUUCGAUUUCUUUUUCUCUAUAAAUAUCUCUCUUGAGUCUCAUACACCCAAUCCCAAUUACAGUCAUUCAAUCUCGUCCUUCAUCGGCUCAUGUACAAACAAUGUUUUUUUUAGGAGCCACUCUACCCAGAACCAUCGGUGGUAUACUUUGGAAAAUAAAGUAUGUAAAUCAAUCUGCCACUUGCCCAUUGCAUCACCAAUAAUCGACACACCCAUUGAAAUCGAUUGAACCAGAUUGAAAUACUGAGAUGCAAGAGUGAAUUGAUUUUUCAGAGAAAAGAAAAUAUCAGAUCUAGAAGAAGAAGAAGAUUCGAAUGAAGUUAACAGAGCAAUUGACGUUAGUUCCUGCCAUUUGCUUGCUUGGAAAAAAAAUACAAACGUGUCAACACGAGUGGAUGGUCGUAUGAAUGACGUGGUGCGAGUGCCGCACCUAAGAGUAAGUCCACCCCAAACUCCAAAACUGUGACCCAGACCUUUAGCCAUCUCAAAUAAAGACUCAGACAAAAAAAAACCAAAUCCACCUAUAGAAAAAAAUGAUAACCCAAUCUUUAUUAGAUCAAGACCUGAGUUAGACUCAUAACCAGGCAGAAAAAUGAAGGCCCGGGCCUUCCCUCUCCAGCUCAGCCCACUUGCAUGGGUUUGCAUGACGUCAGCCAUGUUAGAAGACUUGGAGAGAUGAAAGAAGACGCGUCUUGAUGUGGGUGAAGAACACAGACCAAUUGUUGAUGAAAGAGGACGCGCGGGGAACUCAUUUUGUCGCCAUGCGGGGUUAGUGGAUGGGCCACAUGCACGUUCCAAACCUUCACACACCCAUUUAUGUGAAUCUGAUGGUAUAUAUUUAACAACCAAAUAUUUUUAUUACAGAAAUAAAUAGGAAUUAUAAGUUAUAGUUUUAUUUUUUUGGAAUUUUAAUUUCUUCAACAUCCCACAAAAAAAAAAUUGUGCAUUUUAGAUCCAAUUUUUCAUAUCCCUAGCAUUGCUAUUUAUUUAUAAAAUUUUCAUAAAUUUGUCAUAUUAAAUAAUUCCGUGGAAUAAAUAUUUUUAAUAAAUAUUAAACAGUCACUGUCACGUGGUGACCCAAAAACUAAAAUCAUGGGUGGAAACUACAGCUCAAAAUCACUGCCACGUGGCGACCUAGGUCUCGCCUAAGACCCAGACCUUCCCAACGAAGACCUAGAAGGUGGACUUGUUCUAAGAUGACACGGUGUGAGUGCCCCACGCAAGAAUUGCUCCCUGGACCGUGACCACGUGUUUUGGAUAGGGUAAUGCACUACAAAAAAUAUGCGUAAAAGCGACAGUUUUUUCCCCACAUUUUCAGUUUUCGUGGGAGUAUAGUACUGAAUAGUGUCAACGUUUGAAAUCUUUCGAACUCUCCCACGCAAGUCGCAACUUCGAAUUCGUGGAGUAUAAAACAAUAAAAAAUUGUUCUGUAUGGGUAUUUAAUUCUGACACUCUAUUUUUUUUUCCAGUUUAUAAUUCUAAAUUCAGUAAACACCACGCUUUUAACAAUUAGUGGGAAGUAAAUAAUAAAAUAUUAUGAUAGUGUGGAAUUAUGAUGUUGAAACGAUGUAAUUAUCAUGACAUUUUAGUUUCUUACCCGUUUUUAGUAAUUAAUUCAUUUGAAUGUCCCACAAAUAUGCACAAAACGUGAGAACUUAUCUGUACAAGUACAACUGUUGNNNNNNNNNNNNNNNNNNNNNNNNNNNNNNNNNNNNNNNNNNNNNNNNNNNNNNNNNNNNNNNNNNNNNNNNNNNNNNNNNNNNNNNNNNNNNNNNNNNNNNNNNNNNNNNNNNNNNNNNNNNNNNNNNNNNNNNNNNNNNNNNNNNNNNNNNNNNNNNNNNNNNNNNNNNNNNNNNNNNNNNNNNNNNNNNNNNNNNNNNNNNNNNNNNNNNNNNNNNNNNNNNNNNNNNNNNNNNNNNNNNNNNNNNNNNNNNNNNNNNNNNNNNNNNNNNNNNNNNNNNNNNNNNNNNNNNNNNNNNNAUCUAUAAACAAGAUAAACAAGAAAUGGAGUAAAAAUUUCAACAAAGAUUAAUUCCUGGUACACUUUCAUCUUUCUUAACAUCUUAUGGCAUUGAUAUUGACUGGAAUAGCUCACAAAUAAUUUGCAGAUUGCAACUCUAGUUAAAUCCAAUUUGUCAAUACUGCACUUUAAUGCAUCAGGACUCGAGCCUAGUUGUUAUAUAUACUUCUAUAGUAAAGCUAGUAUUAGUAUAUGUGAACAAAGUUCAAAUCUGUGCGUAAGAAUGAUCCUUUCUAAGUUUCUCAUCUGUAUUAUUUGAAUGUCUGCAGUUUGCGAUACCAUUUCCACCCUGUGACAGGUGGAUGCUGAAGUUUUUAGUAAUCCAGCAAUGAUUUUGAAGAUGAAAUUGACCAAUCUUCCAUGGAGACUAUAAAUCAUUCAGAAAGGGUCCCUAAAAUGUAAAAUUGUUUAGAAUUACAUAUGAAAGCUUGUAGUGCCUUUGAUUCCAUGACUGAAAUUUACAGGGUUAGCAUUUCUGGCUUACUAAAGCUUGUACUGGCUCCCACCAUAUAUGCCAAGAUGCUUAGAAGAUUUCUGCCAAUCUCUUUAUUUUGGCGUAUGUAAGGAUCAAAAACUGACAUGAUUGCAACCUAAGAGCUAUAAAAUUUGAUCAAAAUUUUCUCCAAUUCAGUCAUAUAUCAUGCUAGUCAAGUUCAUCAUGUUGUUUGGAAACAAUGUGACUUAUCAUGCGAAUUUCACGUCACUUAUCACACAGAAACGCUCUUACCAACCUCUCCGUAACCGAGUUUGGUUGAUUCUUUCAUACGUUAAACUCUCACACAGAUGAGACGUUACACAUAAAAAUUUGAAAACGUUUGAUUCCUGUUGAUACGGCUCCCCAUAAGGAAGAUUAAGGGUAAAAAAGGUUGACCGUUUUUAUCGGUACCCAAAAGUUACUCGAAAUAUGUGAUUUUUCAACCAUAGCCGUAUUUCACUAUUCCGAUCACAUCUUAUUUACGAGAUUUUUGCUUCCUUUGUACAGUUGGUUUACAAAAUUGUACACUUGCAUAUAACCUACUAAACAAGUUAUAUCACAUUAGUAGACACGUUGUGAUUUCGAUGACUAAAAUUCUCAAAAUGAAAAUUCCACAGUCUGAUAUGAUCAUUAUAGUAAACCAUGUCUAUGGUAUAAAAUUCAACUCUAUUCGGUAGCGUUCGGGGCUCGAUCGAAGCGGUCAACCAUAAUAUAUCGUCACUUAUCACACGGAAACGCUCUUACCUACCUCUCCACGACCUAAUUUGGUCAAUUCUUCCACACGUUAAACUCUCACAUAGAUGAAACGUAACCACACAUAAAAAUUUGGAGACGUUUAACUCUCGUUGAUAGGGCUCCCUAUAGGGAAGAUUAAGCGUAAAAAAGGUUAACUGCUUUUAUCGGCACCCAAACGUUAACCGAAAUAUGUGAUUUUUCAACCAUAGUAGCUAAACACUAUUUUGAUCACAUCUUAUUUCACGAGAAUUUUGAAAAUUUUACUUCCUUUAUGUAGUUGGUUUAAAAAGUUGUACACUUGCAUAUAACCUAUUAAAUAAGUUAUACUAUAUUAGUAGACACGUUGUGAUUCCGAUAACUUAAAAUCACAAAAUGAAAAUUCCACCGUCUGAUAUGAUCAUUAUAGUAAAUCAUGUCUAUGAUAUAAAAUUCAACUUGAUUCGGCAACGUUCGUGGCUCGAUCGAAGCGGUCAACCCUAAUAUAUCGUCACUUAUCACACGGAAACGCUCUUACCUACCUCUUUGUGACCUAGUUUGGUUGAUUCUUUCACACAUUAAACUCUCACAUAGAUGAGACGUAACCACAUAUGUAAAAAUUUGGAGACGUUUACCUCCCGAAAAUAGGGCUCCUUAUAGGGAAGAUUAAACGUAAAAAAUGUUACUGUUUUUAUCGGCACCCAAACGUUACCCGAAAUACGUGAUUUUUCAACCAUAGCUAUAUUUCACUAUUUUGAUCACAUCUUAUUUCACGAGAUUUUUGAAAAUUUUGCUUCUUUUGUGUAGUUGGUUUACAAAGUUGUACACUUGUAUAUAACCUAUUAAAUAAGUUAUACUAUAUUAGUAGACACGUUGUAAUUCCAAUGACUAAAAAUCAUAAAAUGAAAAUUCCACCGUCUGAUAUGAUCAUUAUAGUAAAACAUGUUUAUGAUAUAAAAUUCAACUUGAUUCAGCAACGUUCGGGGCUCGAUCGAAGCAGUCAACCCUAUUAUAUCGUCACUUAUCACACGAAAACACUCUUACCUACCUCUUUGUGACCUAGUUUGGUCGAUUACUCCACACGUUAAACUCUCACAUAGAUGAGACGUAACCACACAUAAAAAUUUGGAGACGUUUACCUCCCGAAGAUAGGGCUCCCAUAGGGAAGCAUAAACGUAAAAAGAGUUGACCGCUUAUAUUGGACUCGGACUUUACCCGAAAUACGUGAUUUUUCAACCAUUGCCGUAUUUGACCAUUCCGAUCACAUCCUAUUUCACGUGAUUUUUGAAAAUUUUGCUUGCACUGUAGAGUUGGUUUAUAAAGUUGUACACUUGUAUAUAACCUACCAAACAAGUUAUACCACAUUAGUAGGCACGUUGUAAUUCCGAUGACUAAAAAUUACAAAAUGAAAAUUCCACCGUCUGAUAUGAUCAUUAUAGUAAAACAUGUCUAUGAUAUAAAAUUCAACUCGAUUCGCAAUGUUCAGGGCUCGAUCGAAGCGGUCAAUAUCUUAUGACACUACUAGCAGCCUGAUCUUUAUUAGCAUUUUUCAUGGCCACGUUUUUCAUGGCCGAGCUCAUCUCACCCCUGUACUGUUCGUAAAGUUUCCUCCAGUUGUUCAAGCAGUGUUUGGGGACUUGAUUAAUGUCAAAAAUAGGAAGUUUCUUGAUUUCUGAACAAGGAUACAGAGGAAAAUCAGUAUGUUAAAAGUUGAAAUAAAUCAUUUUUUAUCUAAAGUUAUAAUUUGAUGGAAAUUUCAUAACUUUGAAAUACUAAAAGGAUUUGACAUGGGAACAUCACAGAAAGCUAUCAUAACCUUUGACAGAAAUUGGUUCAUGAUCAACAUUAAACAUUAUCUACCAUCAAAUUUUAAAAGAUUUUGGUUGAUUUAUAACAAUCCAUAGAUUCUGCUAAUUCUAUGGAUUGUUUUAAUUCCAUAUGGAGUUUAACAAAUUUUAAUAGAUUGAUUUAUUAGUAUUCUUUUAGACUUUUAUAAGUCCACAGAUUGUUGUAACGGCAAUAAAUAAAAAAAAGUUUCUUAAAACACAAACAAUACAGUAAAAACGAUGAUGACUUGAAACAUAAUGCUCUGAUACAAUAGUAUAUAGGUUACUAGUAUCACAUCAUACAGAGAACUGUAUCAAAUCCAAUCUCUCUGUUUGUGAUCAACUCCCCUAUAAUUGAAUAUUCAAGGAACAAUUUUCCCAACAUAAGCACUCAGAAAAAUAGAUUUUCAUCACCAUCUAAAAGCUAUCUAGCAUUAUUAACCAGAUGCAGACCCAUAAUUCUUCCCACACACAAUUAGCUGCAACUCGUCACAACCAGAAAUUAAAGAAUACCAACACCAGCAAUGGCAUGGAGGACGUUUGCAUCAACACCCUUGAACAAGGACUUAGCACCCACAUUCUUCAAGAUCUGAGUGAAGGCUUCAAAACUCUUGUACUCGACAGCUUCACCAGAGGUCAUUAUCUACGAACAGUGUCAAUUGGGUAGGAAGAUAGACCAGCACCAUUUCUGAUGACCUAGGAGAAGUACUACAAGUCAAAAACAAAAGGAUGAUUAUCAAAAACAAAAUGAUGUCAGCUGGAAUACCUACAAGCCAUAAGAAUCUAGUCGUGGACAAAUAAAGUAAAUAUAAAUACAGCUUCCGCCAACACACUGAAGUUGCAUAUCCUUGGAAUCAAACCACCAAUAUAGGAUAAAUAGAAUUUGCAAGCACAUAAAAGUACAAAGAAUACCAAUCAAAUUACUACAGGCCUUAUGAUAUAAGUGUCACUACAACGCUUAAUAAGAGUUCAAAAAUGAAUGAUCCACUGAUCCAUGAGUGACCACACUAACACUUGAGUAAUACAGGACCUCAAUACUUUCCUACUAAAAUAACCAUUUUAAACAGUAGUAUAAGGGUAUUCAGAAUUUCAGAUAUGAUACAUGAGUAGCAUAUAUUAAGAUCGCAAAUUGAAGAAAACAUAUAUAUCUCUCGUAGUUAGAAGAGAUGGGACAACAGUUGGAUAAUGACAUAACUAAUCUUUGGUUUUCAAAGUUUAUCUGCCCAUCCAUUCAAAACAAACGAAUCAUUAUUAGCCGCUAAACAAAUCACAGAGUCAUUCCUUUUACCCUCAAAGUUAUCAAUGUUGUUCUUGUAACUAGGCACGUGUUGCUACAAACAAUUCCCCUUAUACACACCCUGACCUACAGACAUAUAUACCAAUAUCCAACACUCAAACAAUUCCCCUUAUACACCCUGACCUACAGGUUUGUCUUUCUCAAGUUCAGACUAUCUUAGCAUACUGGAAAUCAUAUGCCAUCAUUCUGAGAGAAAUUUGUACAGCCUCCUCAAUCUCAAGCUAACUAGCUCUUAUAAUCAAUGCACUCAGUUAUGCGCCCUACGUACUUCUCUCUCUUUUUCCUCUACAAAACUUGAUGCUUUGGCCGUCAACCAUGAAACUGUUUCCAGGAAAGAUAAUGUACUGCAAUCAUCUACUUGUUCGUGCAAACCAUUGAGUUCAGACUUCAGAUACACCAUGUGUAAUGUGGAUUUUUGUGAUAGAGAUAUUUCCCUAAAUUAUUUAUUCUAUUAGUCAAAACCUUGUUAAAAACAUAAACUAGCAGCUUUUAAUGUCUUCCUGUAGACAUCAACCUUAGGUUUCAAAUUCUAGCUUGAUUCGAUUAGUUACACAAUCAACCUAAGCAAGUGUUCGACAUAAUGAUUCUGAAACAAAUGCGACGUACAAUACCAGCACGAACCCCAACAAGAAAUAUGAGAUUAAGAUUCAAAUACGAACAGAAAAGAGAAACAAAGAGCAUGAUUGAUACCUUUCGAGUGAAAUAUGGAUCAUUGGCGAGAACGAUGGUCUCGAAACUGAGUCGUUUGAAUCGUUCGCAGCGGUUGAUUCCUUCGUUUUCAACGGAGGCACCGCCGCCGCUGUAGAUCUUUGACUCGGAAGAACAUCACUCAGAGCCUCAUCGAGCUUUCGACUUGAAGAACAACCUACCGAGGAGAGAACCCAGUGAGCUCUCCUCAGACUCCAUCAAAAUCUCGUGGGAGAGGCCAGAUUUCUUAAUGGAAUUUGUAUUUAUACCUAGCCCUCUAAAAUCCAUCAAAAUCUAACAACUGAUGGAAUCCUUGAGAAUCUAUAGAGUUUUGAAUACCCUCGUAUUUUGAUGGAUAUUUUAAAAUCUGAAUCGAAUACAUCAAGAUUUAUAAGGAGUUUUUAAAAUUUGAUUGAAUACCCAUAGAUUUUCAGAAUCCAAAAAAAUCCAACAGACUCCCAAUUGAAUACACCCCCCUAUGUAGUUCAAGUCUCACCUUGGAACCUCUCACAGAAUUGUCUAUAAGCAUCAGAAGGAGCAGACAGGAUUUCAUCGGGAGAAGGGGAGGAACAAAGUGAUUGUCCAUUGCACAAUGUCGCCGGCAAUGGAUUGGAAGUCUCACCUGCACCACACAAACACACAAAACUCACUAAUUUGCUUAAAUUUCAUCAUAAAUUUCGGCUAAUCACUAAAAGCAUCAACUAGAUUAUAAGUCUAACCCUGAGACUGAAAACUUAAAUAAAAUGGUGCAUCAGUAACUACGACCUUUACCAUCAGACUUGCUUUGACAAGAAUAAGUGUGUGCCACUUUCACUGGAGAAUAAGGUGAUUGUGUAUUGUUGUUGUUUCUGGGUUGCUCUAGAACAGUAAAUGCCUCACCUGCACCAAAAGCUUUAUUAUAGUCAUAUAACAGCAUUGACCACCAACAAAAUGAAUCAACUUGAGAGAGUGAAAGUAGUGACAAACCUUGAAACCCAUCAUCAAGUUGGCCAGGACCAGACAGUCUUUGAGAAGAAGUGCGUGCAAGUUUCAUCGGAGAACCCGAUGAAUAAGGUGAUUGACCUCUAACAGGUGGCAGGUGAUUAAAUGCCUCACCUGCACCGAAAAUCUAGUCAUAUAACAGUGAUGACAACAAGUCCAGUAGUCCACAACCAAAUGAAUCAACUUGAGAAAGCAAAAUAUGACAAACCUUGUGACUUCUCAUGAACUUGUGCAUGAGUAGACAAUCUUUGAUAAGAACAACUCCCUGUUGCUUUCGAUGGAGAACCAUAGCAGUAAGGUAACCUGUCACUAACUGCCUCACCUGCACCAAAAUCCUUAACACUAUCACACACAAAACACUCAUAUGACCACAAUGCAAUGCAUCAAAAUAGAGAACGCAAGAAGCACAACAAACCUCGAGACCUCUCAUCAACUUGUACAUGAGCAAUAAAGCUUCCAUCACAGCUUCCGGGUUGCUCCACAACACCAUACACCUCACCUGCACCAAAACCCACAGAUCCAGUUUCCCUCACUAUAUCAAACCCACAGUAAAGAACACUGGAGACCAUCAUAUAUACCCCAACCCUGAACAUGAAGUGAUGAAAACUAUACCGAACCGGGAUCGAUCCAUGAACAUAAAUCAAUCAGAACUAACAAACCCUAAACAUUGGUAAGGCUGACGAGAUUAAUAAAUGGUAAACGGCGUGUUGUGUAAGCUUCGGCAAUGUAGACUGUAGAGUGGAGUUAAUUGAUUGAUAGGUUCAUAACUCUGAAGCAUGCAACGCCAUUUGUUUUUGGUCUUUUCCUAUCAAAAAUCCUACACUUCUAGUCCAAUUAUUCUUUAAUCCUGCACAUAAUCUGAUGCUAAUUUACCAAAACUAAAGAUCCUGAGCUCAAAUCAAGAACAAAAUCAACACUAGAACUCGACUCGACCCGAGAAUCGAAAUGGUACCUUGCUGAUUGGUCCCUGAAGGAGAGAGUGACGCUCUCCGAAGCUUCUCCGCUGGGCUUGUUCACCUAGAUCCACGAGACUUCAUCGGAAACCUCGGCAUCCGGAUCUGCGGCGCCGCCGAUCUUCGUGACCAGCCGGACCUUUCGCGAUGUGCUGGAGCGGCGUUUAGGGGUUUUGGUGAGGUCGGGGUUGCCGGAAGCCAUGUGAAAAAUUAGGUCUGGGAGAAAUUAGGGUUUCAAAUUCGAGAUCUGAAAGCUUCGAAAUUGAGAGAGAUGAGAGCAAAGGCCAGUUGGGAAUUGAAAUUGGGGGAAAUUGAAAUUUAGAGAGAACUAAAGCGGGGAGUGGGCGGAAGCAAAGAUGAAUAGGAUAGUCACCCACGCACGACGCGCCUCGCUAGGCGUGCUUACAAUUGACAGUUAAAACGAGUUAAUUACCUUUUCAUUUCCGUCAGAAAACAAACGCGGAGCACAGACGCUCCGGAGCAUUCCAGACGUCUCCUCUCCUUCUAUCUUCUCCUCCCUUCUUUCUUUGUCUGUAACUCAUCAAAGCUUCAUUGUUCAUUCUUCCUUCAUAAACGUUUUUAGCUGAAAAACGUAUCUGUGGUGAACUCGAAAACGAAUCUCUCUUAGCCGGUGUACAGAAAUAAAGAAGUCUUUCACACUACCAGAAAUGUGGGCAACAAACACCAUCAUAAUGAUGUGCAUUGAACCAAUGGAAACUAAUCAGUGGUGUGGAUUCAUGAUAGCCACGGCCCUAGCCACUAUUAUGAGAUUAGUUUGCAUUGCUGGCGUGGCUUUUCCUAACAAUACACUAUCAUCUUUUUGGUGACUACAUAUAUACUCACUAAUUCAAUCUUUGGUGACUUCAUUGAAUUAAUAAAUAAAAAAAUAUUCAGCUAUAAAACUCUAUGGGUCCUACAUAUUCAGCAAAAGCAUCUUCAAAACCAGCUUCUUUAAAUUCAAAACCGCGAUCUCUAUCUCGUCUCUAGUAUCUCCUGCAAAGCAACAACAUGGGCAAAGAUUACUUGGCUAUAAAUCACCCCUCAUAAUUUUAUUUCCUUCAUAUAACAGAUGAUAUGUAUCUUGUGGAAAUAAAAUCAAUGUAUCCAGUGGAAAUAAAAUUAACUUGAAGCUCAUAAACUAUCAACAUGUUCAUAACCCGUGACUUUGUAAAAAUAUAAACUUAAAGCUCAUAAACUAUCAACAUGUUCAUAACCCCUGACUUCAUACCUAUAUCAACUUGAUGAACAAGUUCAUAUAAAAGCUCCCUACAUGUUAUGUAUCACAUACCUUAGUUCUUAAUACAAGAUAAUCCUCUCCUCUCUCUUUUUCCAUCACUAAAAUGCAAGUAUAGUGUACAAAGUCCACAUCUUUUCCUGCAAGCAGAAAAACACACUUUGGGUAAGUUGGCCAGAAAACAUACAAUAAAUUUCUUUUGGGUAAGAACCUUAGAAGAAACAAUUAUCAUUCACAUUUAUUAUAGUAAAACCUGGUUCAAGUUCAUAAAUUAAGCAUCUAUCGGCAUAGUUGACACAUAGAAGGUAAAAUCUGAAGCUAGAAAUGAGGUUAUAGUGAACAAUAAUGUAUUAUGAAUUAAGUUCCCAAGGAAUGGUAGUAUCAUAUAUAGUAAUGGUAGUAUCAGCCCACUUUUAUGGAUGAUGCAUAUUCAAUUACUGAUUCACAUUUACAAAAGAAUAUAAGCGUACCUUAUUGAGUGAACGACAUUUUUUUGUCUCCUCAUUCAUACGGUCUUGCAGCUUUCUGUUUCAGAAUGAACACCCUACAAAAAAAACUGCAUAUGACCAGUCAGUUAAGAAUCUUAAGAAGUUCAAAUAGAUUGAUAUGAAUCAAGGACAAUUGUAUACAAAUUAAGAACUGAUAAGGAGGGAAGAUAAAUAUGUAGGUGAAGUUUACCUCCUUCAACACCAGGGCAUCUAACUAUUCUUUUGUCAUGGUAAGACUUGACUAUAGGAGGCGCUUCCUAUAACACAGACAACAUACUAGCCUCAAUACACAAUAAUGGAAGCCCUAAACAUUAUUUGUACAUGUUCUAAACCAUGUAAACAUGCUUCAACUUUACCAGUUGAAAUUGACACAUAAGAGGUGCACAAUACGCAUAUUUUUUUGUCUAUUCAUUCGAUAGAAAGCAAUUAACCAUGUAACCACAAAAUUCAUAUGGUAAGAUCGAGGAGUCUGACAACUAUUAUCUCUUUUUUCAUUCAUUCACUCGAAGAUCAAAAUAUAAAUAAAAAACACCUUCCCCUCGAUAGUUAUUAGAAAUCUGCAAUUAGGAAUCAAAAGACUCUUGUUUAAGGUCUAAAAGUAUGAAUGUAAAAGCCCACUUCUACGACAACAAAUGCCAAAGUCAUCUCAUAUAAUUUAUGAAUAAUGAAGCAAGAACAUGAAACAAAAAAAUUAAAUCUUCAGAGUACCUUAGUACCAAAAGGAUUAAUUGGAUUAUUAAUCUCAAGAAUUUCCUCCCCUAAAAAUUAAGUCUUCGGAGUACCUUAGUACCAAAAGCAGAUAUAAACUAACAAUAAUAUGAAGUUUGACUAUCAUAUUCAUCUCAUCACCCAAAAACAGUGAUGUAAGCUACUUAAUAUAACAGACCAUAAAAGCUGGAAGAAGCUAGUUAUGCAGUAAUUCUCUAUUUGGUGUAAAGAAUAUAAAACUCCAAAGAAACUGCAUUUGAUUGAAGAGUUCAUAAAAUUGAUUUCCCAUCAAGAAUAUACAGUCACAUUUAAGAUUGAUACAAAAGACAUAUCUACAAGUUAAAUGUGCAGACAUACUGACAAUUAAACAUUAGUGUCUACAUGAACUCCUUUUUUUCUUAUUGAUACAUGAACUCCUUUUAUACCACAUCAAACUAAUAAUAAUCAAGUUAUUAGUAGAGUCCUUACUUAAACCUCAUGAACAUUACAAAGUAUUGAAAGCGAAUAAACAUCUCAGAGAACAGAACUCACCAGGUAAACAACUUCUAUUAAAUAAUUCUCGACAUUGUCAUUUCUGAAACAACAGUAUCAAGAAUAAGCACCCAAAUUAACUAUUAUAUAGUCAGCAGUUAUAAAAUUUCAUCAAAAAAGAAUUUUCAUCAGUUAAAUUAUAUCACCUUCCACAGUUCCACCUUUCAUUAUCCUAAAGAUCAUGAAAAUGUCCAUUCCUUUUCUGUUCUUUUGACCAGUGUGAUAAGCUUCAUUCCAACCCUAAAAAAUUAACCCCAAAGUUCAAGUUUUGCGGUGGAGAAAGAAUGCAUGCAAGAGCCUCUAAAACCAAAAUAAAGAAUUAUGAUGCACAAGAAAAGAAAAGCACAACAUACCAAAGCAAUUAAAUAUAACAACUUCAUUACAAAUGUAAAAACGAAGCAGAUAGGGAGAUACACUGACUUGUUCCUCUUUCCAUUCAUCGGGUCGGAGCACCAGUUAAUCUUUCACAGCCCAUGGUGAUCUGCAAAAUUUUCAAUCGAUCAAUCUUCAUACUAUGCUGAAAGAUGAUAUCGGAAACCAAUCAAUGAAGCGAGAUUGGGAUUUAAGAUUUUCAUUACUUGCAGCGCCGACGAAGACACGGAGUUGGAUUAGAUCGGCGUAUGGCCGAAACAGACAGAGUAAUUUAGAGGCUUGUCGAGCUGCGGUAGCUGAGAGAGAGAGAGAGAGAGAGAGAGAGAGAGAGAGAGAGAGAGAGAGAGAGAGAGNNNNNNNNNNNNNNNNNNNNGGAGAGGAACUUCGUUAUGCACCAUAAGAAAAAAGAGAUAAACUCAUAAAAGUAUAAUUUUAUAACUUUAAACAAUAUUGGUGACGGUCAAACAGUUGUGGUUUUUGCUAAUAGUGACACCGUUAUAAGGAUUGGGGAGAAAUCCUAUGGGUUAUGUCACCAUUAGACUAAUAGUGCAUAGAAAAUAGUAUCUGAUGCCCACAUUUGUGGUAGUGUCAUCUGCAGUCAUAGUCUCAAGAAUGACAAAUCGUCAUCAUCUGAAGUAUUGAGGCAUGUCAGAGAUUUCCAAUCUUCCUUCAAAAGGUUAGAUUUUUCCUUCCAUGACCCAUGUAAUAUCAGGAUUUAAGUGGGUAUAACAUGACUGAGAAAUUUGAAAAUAGGAAUUUAUUGGUUAUGAUUUCUUCAUGAUUUUCUGCUAACAUAAAUUCUCAAUUUUUUUUUCAUAUAUUAUUUCUUAGGAAAUUGAAUUCUGGUGAAGUUAAUCAAUGUGUUUGCAUAUAGGCGUCAACAGAUCGAGCUUGGCUGAGUAGUUGCCUCCUCCACAUGUAUAUGUGUUGGCUUUAAACUCAGUCUUCUACUAUAUGUGAUGUUUUGUUUCGUUAAGUGUUUAUUUUGUGAUCUUGUUUCGUCAAGUGCUGAUGUUUCUUAAUAUCUUUUAUUAAACAGCGACAAGCGUGGCUCGUGGAUCACAUUGUACCGAUACUGUCCCAACUUAACCACCUUUAAGGUGUUGGGUUUUAAUCACAAAAGGCCUCGGUACAAUUGGAUAAGAUCCAUCCACAUAUAAGUUAUAUUUUAUUUGUCACUUUUCUGAUGUGGGAUUUAUUCCUCUCUAAUACUUCUAAUACGCCCCCUCACGUGCAACCUGACUUAAGGUCCGCACGUGGAAUGAAUCGGGACGGAACGAACCAAGGGACACUUAGUGACAAUCCAAUCGGAAUAUUCCGAUGGUGAGACAAGAAGCCGGAACCGGGCGAGAAAAUAGAAUCCCGGACCGGACGAGAGAAUGAACCCAAAUCGGGCCCAUGAGAAUUGGAGAAGUAAUUGGAGAGGGACCCGCUCUGAUACCAUGUUAAACAGCGACAAGCGUGGCCUAUGGAUCACAUUGUACCGAUACUGUCCCAACUUAACCACCUUUAAGGUGUUGGGUUUUAAUCACAAAAGGCCUCGGUACAAUUGGAUAAGAUCCAUCCACAUAUAAGUUAUAUUUUAUUUGUCACUUUUCUGAUGUGGGAUCUAUUCUUCUCUAAUACUUCUAAUAUUUUUGUCUACUUUUCAGGUAUGUGUUCUUGCAAAAUUUAUUAGCCUUAGCUGAAGUUGUUGUUGAGCUUGACUUACAGAAUGAGGUUGGGGAAAUACAAAGAUUAGCCUUUUCGACUUUGCAAAGGAUGGAUCAGGCCAUCAGGGGACGAGCAUCAUUAGUUAGUUUCAACUUUCAACAAUAGUUUUUUAGAUUAGCUCCAUGUAAAUAGAUUAGCUCCAUUUCCCUCCUGGCCUCCUGGGAAAUUUUGAUUAGUUGUGCUUUGUUGUGGAUUUCCUGCAAAUCAGUUAAUGAAUAUAAUCAUUUAGAGAAACUCCGUAUUUCUAUGAAUAAUUGGACGUAUUUCUAUAAAUAAUCGGGUAUUUCUCUAAAUAAAUACAAACCAAUUUGAAUAAGAGCCGUCAGAUAUAUGGUGGGCCCAGAUAAUUCACAUUUAUAACAGCUGUUGAAUUUUACACAUUUUUUUUACAAUCCACACACCUCUAUCUCACUUUUUAUAAGAAAAUGUCUAAAAUGACUCUAUUUUAGACAACUAGAAAAAUUAAAACAUGGAUAGUUUAGACAUUUUCUUAUAAAAAGUAGGGUUUAGGUGUGUAAAUUUCACUCCCCUUAUAUUGACCCUUAAAAUGGUAAUAUAAAAUGGGUCCCAACUUUGAUAGCACCCACGAAUGUUUCGUAUACGUGAGAUUUUUAAGCUAUCGCCAUGGCAUUAGUCCGCAAAUCGUGACCAAGCCCAAUGCACACGAUUAUUCGUAGGUAAAAAGGCAACUCCCACGAAACAAAUUCCUAGCUAUACCCAGUUUUUUUUUUUUUUUUUUAGUGAUGGCUGAUUAAGUUGGAUAAGAGCUAGAUGUAUUGGUUCCACUUCCACCUCCAUGUAAACACAAAACUAUUGUAAUUUACCACACAAUAACUAAUUAGCAAAGACUAGUAGAAUACGUAUAUGUACUAAUGUACACCAAGGACUGACACCAAACUAACAAUUCAGGUGGCCCAUAUAUAACCGAGUUCGUUUUAUAAUUCGAGUUCUUACAUCUUUUUAAUAGAUUGAGCUGAUCAAGCAAAAAUUCGAAUCAAACAAAUGAAGUAAACGGAUCAAUGAACACAGGUUAUUCAAUAUGCAUGAUUGUGAUGUUACUGAAAUUAAUGGACAAUCAAUUUCAGUAUAAAGCUUAAGGUUAGCUGAGCAUGUCGUCUUAAUUAACUGCAGUACGUAUAGAUGAUCUGUUCUCAUUCAGUGUGCUGAUGUUCAUCUUCAGAAUGGAAAUCUGAAGUUGUGAAGAUGUAGUUUUUGAGAGCCCCGAGAAUGAUCCAUGCACAAUAGCACGAAAGACGAAAACUGAAGUGGAAGUAGAAUUUUUCUGUAAACUUUGUACCUACAAAAUUAAGUUUAAUAAUUUUCAGAUUCUUAUGCAGAGGUUUGGGUACGCAUGAAUCAAGAGAUCAGUGAAAGCAUAUUCUCAUCAUAAUUAACAUCAUACUUUCUGCAAUUUGUUCUCAAAUUGGAUUACCUAUAUAUAAAUUCUAGGCCAUAUAGAAAAUUAGAAAUAUAAGGUUGUUCAGCUUCCAUUCCGUGGAUGGAAAAUUCUAGUAUACCAUAUGGUAUAACAUACCUCACAAAAUAUGUGGCUAUCAUUGAUUGAAAAAACAACUAAAUGACCAUGUAAUGACUAUUUACCCCUUCAAAAGCCCACAUAGGCAUGUCAUACCAUAUGGUAUGAUAAACAAACCCUCCGUGGAUAUAUUUGUUAAAGAUCCUUGAAUCAUUUCCCCCAAAAAAGAAAAAGAAAAAAAAAGGAGAUCCUUGAAUCAGAGGUUAUAUAGGCUUUGAUGAAUGUCGUAUAUUGCUCGUCAUUUUCUUGAUGCAUCUAAUUAAGUACGUAGUUGGAGAAAACAAGAUGCCAGUGAAUCUAAUACCAAGAUUUCUUGCAGGGCUGCUUAAUAUCAAGUUAUCAACUAUUGUGAGUUACUAAAAUGAUUGAGUUCGUAUGUGGGUGAAGAUUUCACAUGGAAAUUUUGAUACAGAGAUAUGUAAUUAUGCAAACAGAUCCGUUCAUAUAUUCCUUUCCAUCGACAAACAAGUUACAUCAACACAGGCACACUUGAAAGAAAUCCCAUUUACAACAGUUGCGCACACAUGAUUAAAUCGAUCACUUCACUCCAAAACUUUCAAACCUCACUUUCCGGGAACAAAGUUUGUGGCAUAUGACCAAGCGUUGUUGUUAACAGGGUCAGCCAAGUGAUCAGCUAGGUUCUCAAUCGGUCCCUUUCCGGUAACAAUAGCUUGCACGAAGAAUCCGAACAUGGAAAACAUAGCCAGUCUUCCGUUCUUGAGCUCCUUCACCUUAAGCUCAGCAAAAGCCUCAGGAUCGUCUGCAAGCCCUAAAGGGUCAAAGCUCCCACCGGGGUACAACGGGUCUACUACCUCACCGAGAGGACCUCCUGCAAUUCUGUAGCCUUCAACAGCACCCAUCAAGAUCACUUGUGUUGCCCAGAUUGCCAAAAUGCUUUGAGCGUGGACCAAGCUAGGGUUUCCCAAGUAGUCUAGUCCACCCUCACUGAAGAUUUGAGCUCCAGCCUUGAACCAAACAGCUUCGCCGAACUUGACUCCAUUACGAGCCAAGAGUUCAGGGAAAACACAGCCAAGGGCACCUAGCAUGGCCCAUCUGGAAUGGAUGACUUCGAGCUCACGGUUCUUGGCAAAGGUCUCAGGAUCAGCUGAGAGCCCAGCUGUGUCCCAGCCGUAGUCACCGGGAAACUCUCCGGUGAGGUAAGACGGGGCUUCGCCGGAGAAUGGUCCCAAGUACUUGACACGGUCAGGACCGUACCACGGGCUGACGGAUGACACAUUCUUUGACUUGGCUGCGGUUUUGCGCAUGGUAACUCGGCCCUCACCGAGGAGGUUAGAUGUGGAGGAACCAAGCUUCACAGCUUGGCCAGCUAGAGAAGGGGAGGAGAGAGCCAUUGUUGAAGAAGCCAUUUGAGGAAAGUGUUGAGAGUUCUCAGCUUAGACAAUGUGGGGUGGUGAGGGCCGAGGGUUUGUGUUUUGAGUAGAGCCGUUGGUGGCUAUUUGUAUAGGGUUUUGUGUGGGGGUUCUUUAUCUUUUUGAUAUCUUCAUCUCUAUUCUUAUUGGGUGAUAGUGAAGUUUGAAGAUUUUUCCCUUCAACGGAUCUCUGCAUUUCCAGUUGGCCUCGUAUGCUCCACUACUAAGUUCAGUUAGUUCCAAAAAUAGAAAGACAUGCAGAGACAAAAAUGGAAAUCUGUUGUGGAUGUACUCUAUCGAAAAUAAAAUCUGUUGUGGAUACUCUGUGCUUUGAUUUCCAGCUAAUAGACGGUGACCACGUCAGCUUUGGAUCAGGGUAAUGGCUGAUUAAGAUUCUUGGAUAAGAGCUAGAUGUAUUAGUUCCACCUCCAUGUAAUGUACGUAUAUGUACACAAAGAAGUUAAUUAACUAGCAAAGAAUAGUAGAAUACGUAUAUGUACAUAAAGGACUAAUACCAAACUAACAUGCAACUCAGGUGAUCCCAUAUUAAUUAUAACGAGUUCGUUUUAUAAUUCGAGUCGUUACAUCUGUUUGAAAGACUAAGUUUAUCAUGUAAUAAUUUGAAUCAAACAAAUGAAGUAAACGGAUCAAUGAACACUGGUUAUUAAUGCAUGAUUGUGAUGUAUAUAUGUUACUGAAAUGGACAAGCAGUGUUUCUGUAUAAGCUUAAGUUUUCGCCAGAUCAAUUGAAGGAGGCCGAGCAUGUCGCCUAAAUUAACUGCAGUACAUAGACGAUCUGUUCCCAUUCAGUGUGAUGAUGUUCAUCUUCAGAAUGGAAAUCUGAAGUUGUGAAGCAAAAUGUAGUUUAUGAGAGCCCCAAGAAUGAUCCAAUGCACGAUGGCCUCCUGAAAGUCGAAAACUGAAGUAGAAGUAGAAAUUUUCUGUUAACUUUAUACCUACAAGUUUAAUAAUUUCAUGGACGCAUGAAUCAAGAGAUCAGUGAAAGAACAUUGUCAUCAUACUUUCUGCAAGCUAUCCUCAAAUUGGAUUACCUAUACAUGAAUUCAAGGCAUCAGCCAAAAGCCCAAAAGUAGUAUUGCAUAUAGGUUGUCCAGCUUCCAUGUUUGUCAUAAGGAUCCUCAAAUCAGCAUUAGUGGCUUUGAUUGAAUUUCAUAUAUCGCUUGUCAAUUUGUUGAUGCAUCUAAUUAAGUCGGAGAAAUUAUACAAGAUGUGUCAGAUAUUUCCAUGAUUUCUGGCAAUGCUGCUUAGAGCUGAUUCAUUAACUUGUGAGUUAAUAAAAGAUGAUUGAGCUUGUAUAGUUGUAUAUAUGGGUGAAGAUUUUACAUAAAAUUUUUAGUACAGAGCAAUUUAAGCAAACAGAUCUGUUGAUAUAUUCCUUUCCAUCGACAAACAAGUUACAUCAACAGAAACACACUUGAAAGAAAUCCCAUUUACAACAGUUGCAAACACAGAUGAUUCGAUCGAUCACUUCUCUCCCAAGCUUUCAAACCUCACUUUCCGGGAACAAAGUUGGUGGCAUAGGACCAAGCGUUGUUGUUAACAGGGUCAGCCAAGUGGUCAGCUAGGUUCUCAAUCGGUCCCUUUCCGGUAACAAUAGCUUGUACGAAGAAUCCGAACAUGGAAAACAUGGCCAGUCUUCCGUUCUUGAGCUCCUUCACCUUAAGCUCAGCAAAAGCCUCAGGAUCGUCUGCAAGCCCCAAGGGGUCAAAGCUCCCACCGGGGUACAACGGGUCUACUACCUCACCGAGAGGCCCUCCGGCAAUUCUGUAGCCUUCAACUGCACCCAUCAAGAUCACUUGUGUUGCCCAGAUUGCCAAAAUGCUCUGAGCAUGAACUAAGCUUGGGUUUCCCAAGUAGUCUAGUCCACCCUCACUGAAGAUCUGAGCUCCUGCCUUGAACCAAACAGCUUCUCCGAACUUGACUCCAUUACGAGCUAGGAGUUCAGGGAAGACACAUCCUAGAGCACCGAGCAUGGCCCAUCUUGAAUGGAUGACCUCGAGCUCACGGUUCUUAGCAAAGGUCUCGGGAUCAGCUGAGAGCCCAGCUGUGUCCCAGCCAUAGUCACCGGGAAACUCUCCGGUGAGGUAAGAUGGAGCCUCCCCGGAGAAUGGCCCCAAGUACUUGACACGGUCUGGGCCAUACCAAGGGCUGCCAGACGACACAGCCUUGGACUUGGCUCCAGUUUUGCGCAUGGUGAUUCUGCCCUCACCGAAGAUGUUAGAUGCAGCUGGGCUAAGCUGCACAGCUUGGCCAGCUAGAGAAGGAGAAGACAGAGCCAUUGUUGAAGCAGCCAUUUGAGAAAAAUGAAUCUAGUCUGGUUAGACUUGGAUAAGGGGAUGUGAUGGCCGUUUGUUUUGUGAUGGUAAGAGACCUUGGUGGGCAUAUUUAUAGCUCUGGUGAUAGGGAUUAUGCAUUAUCUGUGUGAUAUCUUUAUCUCUAACUCUCAUUGGUGAAAAUGAAGUUCAAAGAUUUCCAAUAUAUCUUCCUGUGAUUCUUUCCAGUUGGCUUCAUAUGUUCCACAAGUUUAGUUCAGAAUAUCUGAGAGACAAUGAAGAGAUUAUCUCAUUGUUUUCAUUUAUCUUAGAGUUUAGAUACUUUCAGCUGUGGCCGUAGUAUUUCCAAGUAAUGACUUAUUCAUUUCCAGUUGGCUUCAAAUUUUAUGUGGUGUUGAGAGCAUAGUCAACAUAUGCUUUAAUCUCAGUCCAAGAGAUUUUUGGUAGGCAAUUGGUAAGUACAGCCUUCCGAGACUAAUGACACCAAAAGAUUAUAGGAUAGAGGGAAAAUAUUUGCAGGUGAAAAUUUGUGAACACUGAACUAACAGGAACUUGGUAUUUCAAGUGUCACAAUUUGUUGCCACUGAAUUUGUGUCAUUUUUGAUAUAAAUGUGCAGAACACAUCCAAAAUAUCAUGAUUAUAAAAUCAUGCUAUUUACUUCUGAGAUACAAAUCUGAACUGGCAUGUUUUUUAUGCAGGGAAGUAGGAUUCUGAUAUUGAACUACUAGUAUACUGGAGCCCUAUGUUCUUUAGUCAAAAGAGAACUGAACUACAAAGUGCUCGAUUCUCAAGUGCCGAGCCCUACGAGUAAAGAGUGUACAUACUCAUCCUAACCUCGUUUGGCUUCAUCAAUUGAGCGUAAACUAAAUGAUAUAACCUUGUUUUCCGGCACUAAAGCAUAUAGUUAGGUAAAGCAUCUCAACAACAUCAUCAUCAGCUAAAAAAUCUGGAAUUGAUGUAAUAUACAAAGUGACCAAGGCAACUCAUUGUCAUCAGAUUUUUACUGUUAAACAACUACAUGAGUCAUAGCAACUCAAAUAAACUUGUGCUCUACCUUAUAUGAGACUUGCCCGUAACUUACAAAGAUCUAGAAGCAACUCAUGGUCAUAAAGUCAAAUGAACAACAGGAUAAUCAUGGCAACUCAAAUAAGGACUUAGUACUACCACAUAUAUGAGUUCCCCAAACCAACAGAUAUUCUAGCAUAGCUGAGACAUUUGUGAGAUUAUGAUCGAAUUACAAAUCAACACAUUAAAACAAACUCAUUAGCUGACACAAUUCCGACUGAGUUAACAAACAUACCUGUUGGAGUAAGUAACUUAUUUAUAAUGUCGAGAGCAGUCAACACCCCAGAUUCAAGAGGAGUCAGGUAUCCAAUCUUUUGGCAAUGAGGAUUCGAAUAUUCGGAGAAGCAUUGUUCUCUCCUUUCUCCCUAGCUUCCUUGCACCAUAUCCACGGAAAACACCAAGCUUACGUGCCUUUUUCCCUUCUUCCACUGCUCUUUUUCUCACGGCGACCAAUAAAUCUGUCCCUUGGGGAUCAAUGUUGUUCUCUUGUUUUUCACUUCCACAUUUCUCUUGGUUCCCUGUAAUUGAACUUGCGCUAUCAUCUGCUAAUUUGUUGGACUGAUGCUUGUUUUCUUCAUCAGCGUUAUCUGCUUCUCCAUGGAUACCCUCAUCACAAUCUGGGCUAUUGCUUCCCCACCAUCUAUUGGAUGCAGUUGAUAAACCUUCAGAUGGGAAUCCAGACUUAAACUCUUCCAAGGUUGUACCUUUGGUCAAGCUUAACGUGAGAAGAUUGUGAGGCCGUCCAGUCUGAACAUUUUUGCUUCCUUGCUGAUGCAAAUUAUUAGAGGCCAUGACACCUGGUGGUUUCAACUGCAAUACUGGGUAUUGGGAAUCACUGCAUUUAAAAAUGAAGGCCAAAGAAUAUGAAAGGGAACAAUGAAGAAAAAAGGUUCACCAGGAACAUUUAAUGUCAUGACCAAUCUGUUGGUCAAUAUGUCUAUCACGAUUAAGUUGGUUCAUACAAAACAAGUAGAAUGCACCAAAAGUAAUGUCACAGAGGGGAAUAUCAAAGAUGACUAACAAUAAACAAUUAAGAGAUUAAACACCACCAGGUAGCAGCCUUAUAUUAGUAUUUAGUUAUGAUUCUCAGACUCUUCUUCACAUAUAGUCAAAUUUACAUUAACUUAUAAGGUUUAAUUCCUAUCUGCUUCAUCACUGAUCUAAAGACAUGAUUUUUAUGUGAUUUAUUUUCAAUAUCCAACAAUUUUUCCGACCCAUGUGUAAUUGGUUUCAGUAUAUCAUUAGAUGUGCAGCAUAAUCAUCUUUUCUCUUUGGUUAAGUAGCCCUAACCAAAAAGCAACCAACUCUAUAUAAAUUCAGGCCUAACUACGAGUCAUCAAGAAGAUAGAGUAUAUGCAGUCAGGAGGAUAAGCAAGCAUGUGGAAACCGAGUCCGGGCGUGUCCCAAGUGAGCAAGGCAAUCAACAGAUAAGCGCAAUGCAAAACGCUCUCCUAACCUUCAAGCAAGAGUCUUGGGCACCAUAAUCUCUAAAAUAGCAUCUCAAACACCCGUAAGCUCUUCCUUUCAAAUGCAGGAUUUCAAAAGAUGUCACCCUUGGCUAUUAUAUCAAAUACAGGACCAAGAGUAGCCGAAGCUAGAUUUGCGAAAAAGAUCAGAUCUUUAUGUACCAAUUUUUGGCAUCUAACUUAGUUACUUGUAUUCUUCUGCAGAGAAAUUGCAUUCUCUACAAACAUGCUGCAAAUUUCACUCCUAAUCUAUGGACAUCGAACCCAAAAUCGUGAGCAAACCUUUUCAUCUUUUCUAGAGUAGAUUUCAAUAUCAUUUACCAACACACACAAGGGCAUCUACAUAUAUACAUAGAACCAAUACUAGGAUACAAAAAUCACUAAUAUAAAAAGCACAGACCUUUUGGAAGUAAAUUUGUUGCUUCCGAAAGGCCAACCCCAGAAGCAUGAAUUUGAAGUCUCUUUCGGGAAUCAAACGUAAGACAGAAAAACGCAAAGCACAGGAAACAGAAUAACAGAGUAUCUCGCUUACGAUUGGGCUGUUGUUUUUGUUGUUGUGGUGGCUGCUGCUCUAGUGUGGCUGCUGCCUUGAGCUCUCCAUUUCAGACACCUAAAAGUGGAGAGCUCAGAAACGAAGUGACUUUCAUAUGGGUUAAAGACAAAACUGUAUGUUCUAUAUUGUUUAAGCAAAUCGACACGUGGCAGAAUCGUGUUUCUUAGUACAUGCUUUCUACGGUCAGGAUUCGAAAUUGGUAAUUUAUUUUCGUUUAAAACCUAAAAUUGCUGUUAAGCAUCACUGUAAAACAAGACCGUCAUGUCCUCCUAAGGCACUACAAGCUUGCCACUGCCCAAGGUGGUGGCUAGCAAGUUUUUGAACCUUUAUGUGUAUCUAAUUUUUUUUGUUUUUAAUCUCUUUUUUUCACACAUUAGCUUGGUACAGUGACCUAAUACUUAGACCUCGUUUGGUUCAUAAAAAAUAACUAUCAACAAAGAUAUAUAAGACUAUAAGUCACUCUACUCGAUCUGCCCAUAAAAAAUAAUUCGUAUGAUGCUAUAGAAUUUUCACAUGAAUUUAUCUUUCCUUCCGGCAAGAAUCAUUGAAAUUUGUAGCCCUCCGACUGAAUGCUUGGUUGAAGAGCAACCGUGUUUGGAACUCGGAGACAAACGGGAACCAUGACAAAAUGGCAACAGGCGCGAAGACUGCCACUCCCAUUAUAUAAUCAUAUUCUCUUCCCAGCUCCUUGAUUGAUUCCCAGAAUCCUACUCCCUUAAGCAUUGGCCUGCAUGCUUGCCCGAUCUUGAAAGGAAAAAAUAUAAAUGGUUUUCAGUAAAUAUAAUGCAUUAGAAACACUCGUGAAAAAAAGCUACUGUUAAGAGAACCAAGUUACUCCCUAUUUAUUUUGGUACAUUCUGAUCACUGAGGUCAGAAUAAGUGUACUAGUAUGAUAAACGAAAUGAGAAAUCUGAAGGCACUAAGUGCAGAUAACCAGAGACAGAAAAGUUUGACUUACAAGAAGAAGUGCCCACCCUGUGGGCAAGAAGGCAAGGAUAGAGGCAAACAGAUCUGAAAUAGUAAGGCCACAAACUACAAAUAGGACAGUCAUGACUGACAUGAAGCCAAGGAAAAGAAGCGCUUUCAGAAUUCUGAACAUGAGCUGAAAGUCGGCACCAAAUCUUCGUCUAACCAUUGACACCAUCUGACAGAAGUGUAGCAAAUAAAUAAGCAACAUCAUUCAUUUGAUACUAUAUAAAGUUCCCAGGAAAAAUAUGAUACUGAUAAAAGUAGAAAAGGGUAUGCACAAACUGUCAUGUUAUCUAUAACUUGGUCAGAACCUGAACAGCUUAUUCUUCAAAAACAUUCAUAACUUACAAAGUUUAAUGCUUUAUUUGUGAUUUUCAUUUGCAUACCUUUAAGACGAGAAGCACUGUUACCAUAACCACCCAAGAAAGUCCAUAAACCUACACACAAAUUGAAAAGGUAGUCGGUUCUGAAUGUUAAAAGCAACAAGAGACAACGUACUCGUAUAUGUUUGAACAUAAAUACUACCAGUGAACUCUUGCUGAAAUGAGCUAUAUCAAGGUGGUAAACAAUCCCAUAUUGGAAAAAGAAGAAGCGACAUGCAAGCACUAUCUCAAGAAUUCUUCCACGGAUAGUAGUGUGCUUGAGGUCUUCCUGCUCUUCAUCCCACCAUGAUUCCCAACUUUUGUCAGGUGAGAUCCCAAUACCACCACGAUUUCCCAUCCACCUCUUCCAAUCCGCCCAAUCAUCUACAGUUUUUUGCCAGUCAAAGCUGGAUGGAUUGAAGAUAAAAGGAGCAAACAACCAGGAAGCAACCAGAAACCACAUGGAGAACGUGAUGAAAAAAUACAGAUUUGAACUCCUAUAAGCAUUCCCGUAGACUCCAUAUACAAUCAGCAGAAUCAACAGCUCCAACCCUUUCACAAAGUGACUUCUUGAGUACAGCCUGUAGUUAUCGGCAAACUUUGCAUGAAAAACAACAAAACCACGGCCAGUUGGUCUAUAUUUGGAUCCACCAUGUAAGAUUGUCCUUCCGUAGUAAUGUGCUUUUGUUCCUAAUUGGAAAGUGAAGAAAACAGAGGCCAGCUGCAACUGCAUGAUGAUGAAAUCACCCAAGGCAGUGCGGAAUCCUUUCUCCAGACCAAUUUCCAUAACCAUGGGGAGGACCAGCAACAACCCCAGUUGAAAGACAGACUGUGUAGCCAGAGCUUCUUCAAAAGCCUUGGUCUGAUGUAUGGCUGGGCUAUCCAGGAUCUCACUUUCCAAUCCACUCAUAACCAUAUAUAGACGUCCAUAUAAAAACACAUAGACAGUCAGCACAGUUACCUGAAACGAAAUAGUAUCUGUAUCAAAUAGAAUUACAUUACCAAAACACUGCACUCAAAGAACAUCUGCCCAGAAAAGUAAAACCAAAGCGAACCAAAACAAAUCCUCAUAUUUAACUUGUUUCCUAUUCAAAACUAAGAUUCAGUCAAUUUGAUUGUAUAGUACUAUAGUAGGAUGACUUCUUUAUCAAUGACACCAUUAAGUUAAAAAAGAAAUACACUAAAGAAAAAUUGUAUUACAAAAUAAAUAGUGGUAGGCACUAAGAUCAACAAGCAGUUGGCCUGAAGCUGUCAUUAACAUGUGAAAUGGGUAGCAUCACUAGCAUGCAUAAUGGUUUUACAGUCAUUUGAGUAUCCUAUCCCUUCACAUGAAUCAACACCAUAUAACCUAGUACUUUAGAGAAAGGUGAUUUAAUACAGUGAUUGAUUAUAAACUAACAUAUUCUCUAUAACUUACUUUUUUUUAAUUCAAUAAUAUUCUCUAUAACUUAUUGAUAUAAGGUAUAUACUAUGAAACAACCAAGUCAACUAAUGAAAAGAUGAUUGGUUUGGAUAACAUACCAUGCUACUAAAAUAGAACCCAACUGUUGUGAAGUAAAAGGACAGCAUUCUAUAGAAAUCAAACCGAUGGCCAAGCCUAUAAACAUCACGGCUAAGUGUCUGCUCUCCAUUCCCAUUUGCAACUUUAGACUCGAAAAGUGAUAUCUGAUUCAUUCCAACAUCACGCCCCUUGCCUACUUGGAUAUACUCAUGAUGUGUUACAAAUCCCCCACGCAGAACAGAAUUGUACCCUGAAGACAUACAAACAAUUAGUCAAAAACAUUCAAUACUUACUAGACAGGGAUCUUCUGGUGAAUAUAUGAAAAAUUUACCUGAAAAUAUAUUCUCGCUUAAGUUAAUUACUUUCGAUGCUUUGCUUAUGCCACCCCUUGUUAUGUGGAAGAGUCUGUCAAAAAUAUCCGGAUGGCCAUAAUGAAACCGUACCCUGUCAUGGUAGAAUGUUAUUAGAUGGAUGGGUACUUGAACGGUAAUAGUAUAAACAGGGGGAAAAUGACAAAGAAAGAAGAUGAUGCUAGUAGUAACUCUAGAUUGGGACUGAGCUGUAGCUCAAGUUGAACGUAAAAUAUAAGGCAUACCUCAGAUUUGCCAAAAUUCGUUGGCCUAUAGUGACAAAACUAGUCUCUUGAUUGGACAUGAACGAAGCAAGUGAUGAAACACUGUAGAUCAGAGGUUGAACAUAAGAUAAAUAGAAUUAACUGAAACAGUGCAAAUCUGCAGAAAAUAUUAUACACAAUCCCAAUCCUAGCAGUCAUAAAGGCCCAAUAUACGAGGCGUUGGAGGUUCGACGCCGGUGGUGGGGAGACAUGGCAAAGCAACUUCGAGUUUGGGCCGGAAUGAGGAUUGGGUUUCUGCUUGGUUUGGUCCAUUGGGCCUGGGUGAAGAAAAUCAGUCCACUUCGGGCAAUUAUUUUAACAGCUUUAUGUUAUUUUCUUUUAUUUACUGCUUUCAAUAAGGAGAUGUGGGCGUCGUCCCGGGGUUGGCACCUUGCGUGCCUCGUUUGUCCUAGGUAAGUUGCAAGUUUCUUGUUUUGUCAAAUGGUCGCAACCUUCUAGUGGCAAGAUGAAACAUAAGGUCGCCGGAUAUGAUUCCGUACGGCAACAUAGUAAAAAAUUUGCACUAUUAGUCAUCAUGAUGCUUGUCCUUAAUACAAUUAUCUUUCCGUUAUGUCACCGCUUUACCAAAGCAAAUAGAGUUACCGAUGAUGCAUUCUUUGCUAACUGGUACAUGUUGAAAUACGUUAUUCUUUGUAAUUUGGGGUUUAGACUUUAUGUCCCCUUUUUGUAUUCUAUGGUUUUAUCAAUCAAGACUUAAGGACAGCCGUACCGGCUCUUUUUCCAAAAAAAAGAAAAAGAAAAAAAAAAGCUCAAUAUAUAUUGUGAAGAGGUAUAUGAAAAGGCUGACCUUCCAGUAAAAAUAUGUUCCCUUAGACCCAAUAUUGUAGGUUUCCGCUGCCCCCGUCGAGGCUUCCGGAAUUCCUCCAAUACAUUUCUCAUUUUGAAAGCUUCCUCAAAAUAAUUAUCCUGUAUAAAAUUUAUUCAAAAAGACAGUAAAUAUACGAAAACACAGUUAACCGCUUUCUCAUUUUGCAUAACGGUGCAAUGAUUGCCACCUGAUUCAUGUCAAUGGUUUGCAGGGCUUCUCCACGAGUAAAGACGAUGGCAUGGUUUUGAUUUUCAGGUCUGCCUUCACCAAUUUCUGUAGGAGAACCUGGAAGCUUGAUGCGGUAUAUUUCCUAGCAAAGAAAUAAGAUUCCUCAACUGAGUUAUUGACUAUUAGCCACAUAUUCUGCUCAUAUGAGACAUUAAGCUCAACAAAGGUAGGUAAAGGCUCUUCAUCAUUCCAUUACAAGUAUGGAUUCCUCGAGAAUUGCUACUCUAGAUGGUACUGAGAUAACAUACAAGUGCACAGAUAUAUGAUGUUAUUUCCUUCCUUACCUCAUCCCAUUUGUCCCCUCCCUUGACCAGCACAGAAAAAUAAAUCUUUUGGGAUUUUCCAUUCACUGUCUCCUCUCUUGUAUCUAUGUAAGCAACCCAUAGAGAAGGAUACCUACAAGACGGUUUCAUGUGUAAAGAUCAUAUCAAUUAUUCAUAUUACAAAGGGAACUACAUAGUGUUCAUAUUAUGGUGAUAACUCACGUUAACAUCAGCUUGAGAAUAUUUGUGUAACAACUUUUGUCACGACUUUCACUGGAAUUCUUCUGUUCACCGUAGAUUUGACAAGAAACUACAUAAGUGAACUUCAAAUCUGCCAGAGCUUGUGCCCGAUCAAGAAUAUCCUUCUCAUCAAUUUGACUUAAUAUCUGGGCUGGGUAGCCUCCAUAAACACCUGCAAAUAUCCGUUUUCCACAUUAUUUGCUUGUAAAGAUUUUGGAACUAAAAUCAUGAACGUCAAUCUGGAGUUGAAACACAUUUUUGUCAAAGGACCACUAACCAUCUCCUGCUGUUUCCAGGAUACAUUGAAGGUCUAGAGCCUUCCUAUAGUACAUCAUUCCUCUCACUAGCAGAAAAUACAGAUAAAAUGUUAAGAAUUGGACAUGGUACUUGUAUAAGAUACAAAGUUACAGAUCAUGCAGACCUGUUCUAGAAAGUGUCUGUCCCCUGUAAGAUACCCACUGGCGAAGUAACUCCGACUUGUCCUUGUUAGAGUACUCAUUCUUAGGUUCAUUUAUGCGGUCCUGGAAAUUUCUCCAUUCAUCUGUUGGUAGUCAUAGUUGGUAGACAGGUAUCAGUUCAAAUAAAUUUCAAACAACGAAAAAGAAUAAUCUAGAAAUGAGACUGAAAUGCACCAGGAUAUAUCUUCUGCAGGUAGAACAAGAUUGAGAUUCCAUCCUCAUUUUCCUUGUUGAGUUCAUCAUCAGAAUACAGAACAUCUUCUUUGUAAUAAGGAGUCAGAACACUGAAUCAUAAAUCAGGAAAAAGUGAGAUGUUAGACAGGCAACUAUUAAAAUUUUAGAAGACCACUACAAUCACAUGGUUGACAAAUUAAAAUACACAUUCAUUCAUUGAAAAUAGAUCCCGAAGCAUACAAGUACUCCUCCAAAAUGAAAAGAGAAACAUAUCUUGACUACAAUUCCAUUAAGUCAGUAGGAAAGCUUUAGUGUGUUCCUCACCUUUGACAUUAUUGCAGUAAUAUGUUAGUUUCUCUUUGUUUUUUAUUAUGUUGUUGUAGUUCACUAGCAACAUAAUAGUUCCCACUGACAACUGACAAACCAAGAUUCCAUAAUGACUGACCUAAAGGAGAGCAUGUCACGAACUUUGGGAGCAUUUGGCAUGUUCAUGAAUAGAGAGUUCGCAAAGAAAGUAAUGCGCCUGCGAGCAUCCAAGUUUUCGGGCACAUUGAUGGCAGAUUCCUUGACGGUCAAAAGCAAAUGAAGCCUAACAACCUAUGUACAUGUAGAAGAAAAAAUAAGACCAAAAGAUUUUGGAUCUUCAGUUAUUGUCUUUGACACAAGAAUAUCUGCCAAAAUUACCUUCUCUCUCCAAGAUGGAUUUUGUGCAAGGUAUAUGUUGAUUUUUUCAAACCUUUGCUCCUUCUUGACAUUUUGACCCUCUGUGUAGUGAGCUGCUUCAAGAAUUCUACAAAGAAAGAAGGACACCUAUUAACAUAUGGAAACCAAAGGGGCUCAAUUGGUGGUCAAAUAUAACAAUAUUUUUUACUGCCUCCAGUAUGCAUUUAUUCUCAGUCCUUACUGAUGGCCAUUGAUCAUUACUUCCUGUGUUAUAAUCUCCAUGAUAUCUUGAAGGACAUUGAUUAUCUGACGCAAGUAAUUAUCGACAUCCUCAUCUCCAGCUAGCUGUCAACAUACCAAUUUAGUAACUCAAACAUGACACUGUCUAAACAAUAUCUAUCAGUUCAUUGCUGAAAGCAGCAGUAAACAAUUGACCAAACGUUGAGGGAAGUAUAUUACCAAGAGUUUAAGAANNNNNNNNNNNNNNNNNNNNAAGUCCUUCGUCCUGCCAGGUAAGUGGUUAUAGUUAGCCUUAAGCUAUACAAACUGAAAGGUUAUAAGUCAUAUUAAAUAGAAAGAAAGAAUUACAAUAAUUAGUAAGUUACGAAAAUGUUUGACUUUGGUAUGCAAAAGAAUUUGUAUUUGGUAUGGAAAACAUUACACAAAGCAAAAUUAACUGAAUCCUAUCCACAAGAGUGCAGUGUGAAAACACUGGAGAUGGAUAGUACCACCAAGUGUUUCUUCUUUUUGGCAUCCUUAAUUUCUGAUGAUGGCAUAAGCCGAUCACUGAAAGCUGAAGGCACAGACUUAAAUCUGGACCGCAACAUCCCAAGUGUUCGUAUCUGAGAGACAACAAAUGAAUAAUCCUCAAACCCAAGCUGAGACAGAUCUAAAACACAUAUUCUUAAUUGUGAAUGAUAAUACAUGUAUAUAUACAGGAAAACAUAUAUGUAAAUCUGAGUGAGAAUAUGCAACUGACCUCCCCCAAAUGGCUGAAGGCUCCUUGAAUCCCACCGAACAGAGUAGAAAAUAUUGCAUACCAUAUUUGUGCAUCCAUAAUGUAUACCUAUGUACAAGAUAAAUCAUUGCAAAGUGGUAAAUGGGAUAAUAGUGUUCACAAACCGAGGAUUUCACUCGAACAAAUUCUUCAUUGAUUCACUUACUAAGACAAUUGGAGCCCAUAUUGCAAUGACAACACCAAUAUUAUGAGUUGCUGCAUUAGUUCCAAAUUUGAGUUUGUAGUUAGACUUGCAGAUAAAACUAAAGUAAAACAUAGUAAAACAUAGCUCAAUAAGUUACCAUUAGGAAAUAACUCAUGCCAUUGAUAAUUAGUGAUGGGCAUAUCCAUUAUCAACUUUGUUGGUGCAACAAGCGGCGAUAUCUAUUUCCAGAUUAUACAAAUUCAUGUCAGGUAAAAUAAAAUACAGUAAAAUAAACUCAGUUCAUACGUAUCCUCGAAGGAAAAACUUAUGUUACAGUAAAUGAAACUUGGUUCUAAUGAUUUAGCAGAAGUACCAAACAAGUUUGAAUGAAAUUUAGCAGUAAUAAAGCAAGAUUUGAGGAAUUUGAGAGAAAUAACCUCCACAUAAUAGCUGAAUGCAAGCUUGCUGAUUAGCAGCAUGAUCCAGAACAAUGUAUAUCUGAUUAAACAAAAGGAUAAAUCAGUCAUAUGAGAAAAAUAUGUAUUAUGAGAAAAAAUAAGUACCAUAAAUCAAAUCAAAAGUAAUGACGAAUGACUGAGUGACUUGAAAAAUUAACGAUAUAUCAUAUAUAACUCCAGAGACAUGCAGAAAAACAGCAAAGGGACCACACACAGUAUAUGCUUCUCUCAAAAGAUGAAGAAUAAAGAAGAAUUGAAAUUUGUUUAGUACUUGUGGUUUGAAUUCGAAAUCUGUUUAGCCCUCGUGGUUUUAUUUUAAUCUGAAUAGUUCUUAAAGUUAGGAUUUUUUUAUCCAAAUAGUCCUUAUGGUUUUAUUUUAAUCUGAAUAGUCCUUAGAGUCAUGAUUUUUCAUCCAAAUAGUUAUUCUGAUAAUUUUCUCAGUUAAAGGCCAUAAAGACUAUUUAGAUGAAAAAUCAUGACUUUAAGAACUAUUCAGAUUAAAAUAAAACCAUAAAGACUAUUUAGAUGAAAAAUCUUAACUUUAAGGACUAUACAGAUUAAAAUAAAACCAUAAGCACUAAACAGAUGUCGACUUCAAACCACAAGAACUAUACAAUAUUUUACUCAAUAAAGAACGAAUGUAGAUUGUUUUUCGAUCUCUUACUUCAGCAGUGAGAAGACAUCCUCAUGCAUUCCUCUUCCGACAUACAGUUUUGGCUGCAAUAUGGCCACCAAGAAGAGUCAUAUGAGCCUAGCCAAAACGCAGAAAAAGAGUCUAUGAAAUUACAAGAGAACAUGAACUUUGGUUAGACCAAUGAGAGAAACUUGCCUGAGCCCACCACAUAAAAAGAGUGACAAUGCGCCAGUUGGAACGCUCUACGUGUCUCCGUAAAGGUGGUAGAACAAAUAGCAUAGCAGCCAAUAUAUUAGGAACCAUAUAGAUUGCAACAGCAUAAUUAUAAAAUGAUUGAUUACUGAAGAAUUUCAGAAGCCCUGUAGGAUUCUGCAUAGAACUUGAAUAACCAAUAGGCAGAACCACAGCCCAGACAACAGCUACUGCAAAUUUCAAAAGGUAUCGUAGUAUUUGAGUGAAUUCCAAGCUCUUCCAUGCAUUCCAACUGAGAAUCAUGUCCAAAGUGGCUGCAGAACAUAAUAGAAAAGAGGACAAAGUGAAAAGGCAGAAAAAUUAAGGAAAAGGAUGGCAUGCCAUUGACUAGAGUUAUGAUAUACAUUAUAUGGAAUUAUGGAUGCCAAGGUCUCCCACCAUAAACCAGUUUUCAAACAAACUUAAAGAUUUAAGAUAGCACCAGUACCUUGUAAUAAAUUCAGGAAAGCGUAUGUCAUGAAGAUGCUUAACACACUUCUAAAGACAUCCGCAUCAAAUAUUGAAGUGACAGAUCCAGAAGGACUCCAUGCAACAAUAAUCAUAGCCUGAUAAUCAGAACAUAAUGAAUGUAGGAUAAUAAACCAAGCCUUAGGUAAAUAUUUUUAACUCCUACAUAGCAGUAACUUUGUUAAGUGGUUUAGUUUUAUCUGGAGUCUUCCACUUAUGGAGACUUCUAGUUUUUGUGUAUUUUAAAUUGGAGCAACUUGUGCAACUUGGUUGCUCUAGACCUUUCGUUGUUGUAUAUAUAUAUAGCUGCUGAUGUACUAAGUUUUGGUUGAAUGAACAGAAGAACAAUUCUUGCUCCAGAAAAACUCUUCUCAUCUGUGUGUGUGUGUGUGAUUGAUUUGCUGUAGUGUUAUUCCAUCUGGUGUUUGUAUUGCUGGUGUGAUAUUGUUAGUUGCUGUUCAGUUUCUACAUCUGGUAUCAGAGCAGGUACGCUCAAAUUGAAGAAGUGUAGAGAUUGAUGGCGAAUUGGGGGAAUGAUUUUCCUCAAUGUCCAGUUGGGAAAUUUGACGGGAAAGGAAACUUCCAGCAUUGGAGAUCGCAGAUGGAACUCUUCUUCAAAAUCAUGGAGUACACAGAGGUGGUGAUCAAUGGAUUUACAGAUCCAGGAGACCAAGCAAAUCUCACACGAGAUCAAAGAGAAUAAUUGGUUCGAAAUAGGAAGAAGGAUUGCAGAGCCCUGAUGUAUAUAUUUGGAGCAAUUGAUUCUGAAGUUUAUGAGAAGAUUGCACAUGUUACAACAUCGAAGGAGGCAUGGGAUUGUUUGAUCAAUACUUAUGUUGGGCGAGAUAAAGUGAAGAAGGUGAGAUUGCAGACUCUACGGCGACAGUUUGAGCUUCUUCAGAUGGAGAAGAAGGAAAGCAUCUCUGAAUACUUUGCAAGAACAUUGGCUAUUGUCAAUCAAAUGAAAGCCAAUGGGGAGGAUAUCAAAGAGCUGCAGAUUGUGGAGAAGAUUCUUCGAACCUUGACGGAGCGGUUUGAAGGAAAAGUCACAGCCAUUGAGGAGUCACAAGAUCUCAAUGCUAUGACGGUGGAUGAUUUAAUGAGUUCCUUGCAGGCCUAUGAACAAAGGCUGAAUGAGAAGUUAGAGAUGGUGAUUGAAGAAGCAUUGCAGACUCAAUUAAGCCUCAAGAAGGAAAGAAAUUGGUCACCACGUGGUGAGUCAAGCUCAACUCAAAGGAAUCAAAGUUCAAGUUACAAGAGAGGUUCACAUGGCAGAUUUGGAGCAAGAAGAGGAAGAGGAAGGGGCUUCCAUUGGAGUCAAGGACGAGAUAGAUCGAAUGUCCAGUGCUUUAAUUGUCAUGGUUAUGGUCAUUACAAGAAUGAGUGCAACUUGAGAAGGCCGGAGAACAAGCAGUUUCAUGCCAAGUUUGCAGAAGACAAUGAUAUCAAUGAGGAGACUUUGUUGAUGGCUUUUAGUGCAAUGAGUAAUGGUGAACAGAUCACAUGGUACUUGGACACAGGUUGCAGCAAUCAUAUGUCCGGCCACAAAGAGUUGUUCAUUGAGCUGAAUGAGUCAAUACGAGCUGAGAUAACAUUUGGGAAUGCUGCAAGGAUGCCGGUUAAAGGAAAAGGCAAGAUCUUUAUACAGUUGAAGAAUGGGAUGUACAACACCAUAUCAUAUGUAUAUUAUGUGCCUGGCCUUAAUCACAACUUGCUUAGUGUGGGGCAAUUAUCAGAGAGGGGGUAUGAUAUGCGCAUCUACAGAGGAGUUUUCACCAUCAAAGAUCCUCAACGGAAACUAAUAACAGAGGUAACUAUGACUCCUAAUCGCUUGUUUCCAUUACUUAUCCAAUAUGAUAAGUUACCUUGCUUUAGUUCUAUUACAAAUGGUGAUAAUUGGUUGUGGCAUAUGCGUUAUGGGCAUUUAAAUUUCAAUAGCUUGAAUUUCCUUGCAAGAAAAAGUUUAGUAUCUGGAUUGCCCCCUAUUCAUGUUCCGAACCAAGUUUGUGAGACUUGUGUUCUUGGAAAGAAGCAUAGAGAUAGCUUUCCGAUAGGAAAGGCCUUGAGAGCUAAUAUGCCCCUUGAAAUUAUACACUCAGACUUGUGUUCUGUUGAGGUUCCUUCAUAUGGAGGUGCCAGAUACUUCGUCACUUUUAUUGAUGAUUUUAGCAGGAAAGCAUGGGUGUAUGUUUUGAAGAACAAGUCUGAGGCAUGUGAUACGUUUAAGGCCUUCAAAGCUUAUGUUGAAAAGCAGAGUGGAGAAAAGAUAAAGGUGUUGAGAACUGAUCGAGGCACAGAAUAUGUAGUUUGUGAUGACUUCUUGAGGAAAAAUGGUAUUAAACAUCAGCUCACAGCAAGUUAUACGCCUCAGCAAAACGGCGUAGCGGAGAGGAAAAAUAGAACCAUUAUGGAUAUGGUGAGAUGCAUGCUGAAAUUGAAAAAUUUGCCUAAGUAUUUUUGGGCAGAAGCUGUUAGUUGCGCAGUUUAUAUCCUGAACAGGUCUCCUAGUAGAAGCACUGGUGGAAUUACUCCGUAUGAAGUGUGGAGUGGUAAGAAGCCCAACAUUCAUCAUUUGAGGGUAUUUGGUUGCAUCGCAUUUGCUCAUGUUCCAGCUCAAAUAAGGAAGAAGCUUGAUUGUAAAGCUGAAAAGUGCAUUUUUAUUGGCUAUAGCACGGUGACAAAGGGGUACAAGCUUUUCAAUCUGGUGACGAAGAAGGUGAUAAUUAGCCGAGAUGUCACUUUUGAUGAGCAAAAUGCGUGGAAUUGGAGUUCAAAAGAAAAAGAACCAACAACAUUCAUUCGAUUGGAGGAUGAAUCAAUUGAAGAAGGUCAGUUGGUUGGUGUUCUAGAAGAGUCUCCAGCAGUAGAAGUUCUAGAACCUGAGUCUCCAGUAGCAGCAGUUGAAGUUCCAGAAGCUGAGCCUCCGCUAGAAGUUGCAACAGCAAGGCCUCAACGUGAUCGUCGUUUGCCACCAUACUUGAAAGAUUAUGAGAUGAAGACCAAAAGGAGAAGCAUAUUAGAUGAAGAUAUUGUCAAUUUUGCUUUGUAUGCAGAUUGUGAUCCUCUUGCCUAUGAUGAGGCUUGUCAACAACAACAUUGGGUCAAGGCGAUGGAUGAUGAACUUCUUGCUAUUGAAAAGAAUGACACAUGGGAGCUCACUCCACUUCCGGAAGGAAAGACAGCUAUUAAAGUCAAAUGGGUGUAUAAGACUAAGUACAAGCCUAAUGGAGACGUGGAUCGUUACAAAGCAAGAUUGGUAGCCAAAGGCUACAAGCAAAAACCAGGUAUUGAUUAUCUUGAAGUUUUUGCUCCUGUUGCUAGGCUUGAUACUGUGAGAAUAGUGAUUUCUCUUGCUGCUUAUAAUUGUUGGAAAAUAUUUCAAAUGGAUGUUAAAUCCGCUUUCUUGAAUGGAACUCUUGAGGAGGAAGUCUAUAUUGAGCAGCCACUUGGAUAUGUGAAGGAAGGUCAAUCGGAGAAAGUAUAUAAGCUGAAAAAGGCUUUAUAUGGUCUUAAACAAGCUCCUAGAGCUUGGUACACCCGAAUUGAUUCCUAUUUUGUGGAGAAUGAGUUUGAAAGGUGUCCAUAUGAGCAUACAUUAUAUGUUAAGACUAAUAUGGAGGGAGAUGUUAUUAUUGUGUGUUUGUAUGUGGACGACCUUAUUAUCACUGGUAAUAAUUCAAAGCUAGUUGGAGAAGUCAGGGAGGCUUUGGCAUCUCAUUUUGAGAUGACGGAUAUGGGGUUGAUGUCGUACUUUCUUGGUAUUGAAGUGGUGCAAACUGAGAAGGGGAUUUUUAUUUCUCAGAGGAAGUAUGCUGGAGACAUUCUCAAGCGUUUUAAAAUGGAGUCUAGCAAUUCAAUCAUGACUCCGGUUGAGCAGAGAUUGAAGUUGAAGAAAGAUGGGAGUGGAGAGUUUGUUAAUCCCACAUGGUAUAAGCAGCUUGUUGGGAGUUUGCGUUACUUGACGGCUACUAGGCCUGACAUCACAUUUGGAGUUGGAUUGAUUAGCAGAUUUAUGGAAGCUCCUUGUCAGUCACAUUUGCAGGCAGCAAAGAGAAUAUUGAGAUAUGUCAAAGGAACUCAAAGUGAUGGAAUUUUCUAUGCAGCUAACUGUGUGAAUGAACUUGUUGGCUAUACAGAUAGUGACUGGGCAGGAGAAGAGAAGGCAAAGAGCACCUCAGGUUAUGUUUUUGAUAUUGGUUCUAGGGUAAUAUGUUGGUCAUCCAAGAAGCAACAAGUGGUAGCUCUUUCAUCAGCUGAAGCAGAGUAUGUUGCAGCAAAUAGGUGUGCAACUCAUGCAAUUUGGCUGCGUCGAAUUCUUCAAAACUUGCAUCAAGAACAGAAGAGGCCUACACCAAUCUUCUGUGACAACAACUCAGCCAUUUCUUUGUCCAAGAAUCCAGUUUUCCAUGAGAGGACAAAGCAUAUCCAUGCGAAGCAUCAUUAUAUUCGAGAUUUGGUGAAGAACAAAGAAAUUGCAGUCCACUACUGUCCUUCUGGAGAACAAGUAGCUGAUAUAUUUACAAAGCCUCUUAAUGCUGCAGCUUUCUUAAAGCUGAAGGAGCUGAUGGGGAUGAUAAAGUUUGAAGAUCUUGGCUUGGGUUUAAGGGAGGCAAUGUAGGAUAAUAAACCAAGCCUUAGGUAAAUAUUUUAACUCCUACAUAGCAGUAACNNNNNNNNNNNNNNNNNNNNNNNNNNNNNNNNNNNNNNNNNNNNNNNNNNNNNNNNNNNNNNNNNNNNNNNNNNNNNNNNNNNNNNNNNNNNNNNNNNNNNNNNNNNNNNNNNNNNNNNNNNNNNNNNNNNNNNNNNNNNNNNNNNNNNNNNNNNNNNNNNNNNNNNNNNNNNNNNNNNNNNNNNNNNNNNNNNNNNNNNNNNNNNNNNNNNNNNNNNNNNNNNNNNNNNNNNNNNNNNNNNNNNNNNNNNNNNNNNNNNNNNNNNNNNNNNNNNNNNNNNNNNNNNNNNNNNNNNNNNNNNNNNNNNNNNNNNNNNNNNNNNNNNNNNNNNNNNNNNNNNNNNNNNNNNNNNNNNNNNNNNNNNNNNNNNNNNNNNNNNNNNNNNNNNNNNNNNNNNNNNNNNNNNNNNNNNNNNNNNNNNNNNNNNNNNNNNNNNNNNNNNNNNNNNNNNNNNNNNNNNNNNNNNNNNNNNNNNNNNNNNNNNNNNNNNNNNNNNNNNNNNNNNNNNNNNNNNNNNNNNNNNNNNNNNNNNNNNNNNNNNNNNNNNNNNNNNNNNNNNNNNNNNNNNNNNNNNNNNNNNNNNNNNNNNNNNNNNNNNNNNNNNNNNNNNNNNNNNNNNNNNNNNNNNNNNNNNNNNNNNNNNNNNNNNNNNNNNNNNNNNNNNNNNNNNNNNNNNNNNNNNNNNNNNNNNNNNNNNNNNNNNNNNNNNNNNNNNNNNNNNNNNNNNNNNNNNNNNNNNNNNNNNNNNNNNNNNNNNNNNNNNNNNNNNNNNNNNNNNNNNNNNNNNNNNNNNNNNNNNNNNNNNNNNNNNNNNNNNNNNNNNNNNNNNNNNNNNNNNNNNNNNNNNNNNNNNNNNNNNNNNNNNNNNNNNNNNNNNNNNNNNNNNNNNNNNNNNNNNNNNNNNNNNNNNNNNNNNNNNNNNNNNNNNNNNNNNNNNNNNNNNNNNNNNNNNNNNNNNNNNNNNNNNNNNNNNNNNNNNNNNNNNNNNNNNNNNNNNNNNNNNNNNNNNNNNNNNNNNNNNNNNNNNNNNNNNNNNNNNNNNNNNNNNNNNNNNNNNNNNNNNNNNNNNNNNNNNNNNNNNNNNNNNNNNNNNNNNNNNNNNNNNNNNNNNNNNNNNNNNNNNNNNNNNNNNNNNNNNNNNNNNNNNNNNNNNNNNNNNNNNNNNNNNNNNNNNNNNNNNNNNNNNNNNNNNNNNNNNNNNNNNNNNNNNNNNNNNNNNNNNNNNNNNNNNNNNNNNNNNNNNNNNNNNNNNNNNNNNNNNNNNNNNNNNNNNNNNNNNNNNNNNNNNNNNNNNNNNNNNNNNNNNNNNNNNNNNNNNNNNNNNNNNNNNNNNNNNNNNNNNNNNNNNNNNNNNNNNNNNNNNNNNNNNNNNNNNNNNNNNNNNNNNNNNNNNNNNNNNNNNNNNNNNNNNNNNNNNNNNNNNNNNNNNNNNNNNNNNNNNNNNNNNNNNNNNNNNNNNNNNNNNNNNNNNNNNNNNNNNNNNNNNNNNNNNNNNNNNNNNNNNNNNNNNNNNNNNNNNNNNNNNNNNNNNNNNNNNNNNNNNNNNNNNNNNNNNNNNNNNNNNNNNNNNNNNNNNNNNNNNNNNNNNNNNNNNNNNNNNNNNNNNNNNNNNNNNNNNNNNNNNNNNNNNNNNNNNNNNNNNNNNNNNNNNNNNNNNNNNNNNNNNNNNNNNNNNNNNNNNNNNNNNNNNNNNNNNNNNNNNNNNNNNNNNNNNNNNNNNNNNNNNNNNNNNNNNNNNNNNNNNNNNNNNNNNNNNNNNNNNNNNNNNNNNNNNNNNNNNNNNNNNNNNNNUUACUUCAAUCCACAACUUGAUUGCUGUUUUCAACCUAAAGUUCAAUGUUGCUCCUUAGCUUAAAAAUAAUUGGACCAUUCCCAGAACUCUAAUAGCUUGAAUUCCUGGGUCCACUGGUUGUCUAUCGUGGUAGAAAAGCCCUGGUUUCAGGAGCUCUUCACUGCAUAUAUUCAUUUUGAUUUGCACAUGGGUGCAUUUUUAAUGUAGAUUACUAGACCAUUUCCUAAGUUUAAGUUUUCAAGUUCAGUAUCCAUCUAAGACCAACAACGUUAAAUACUACAAGCUAAAGCAAAAGUAGGACAUUAGCAGAUCCAAGUAUUUUCUGCAGUGUGAACAGUAGUGAAACAUUUAACUGAUAAAGUAUAAUAGAAUAACAGUUUAAUCUUAUUUUCUUGUUUCAUUGUCUUAAUGAUAUUGAGAUUCAGUCUACUAAUCAUGUGUAGUAAGACCGCAAAUCAGACCACUCUUCACAAAUAAGAAAAAGAAUAUGAGAAAGGACCAUCUCCAGCAGCAGUGAAAAUCAAAAAUUGAUAUAUUUAUGAAGGUAUAAGGUUGUUGGUAAUCCUUAUAUAAAACAAAACACAACCUAUGAAGCCUAAAACAAUUGAGAGAUUAGUCUUACACAUCUGAAGAACAAGUUUGAAGAAGUAGAAGAACCAACAUGAACUCAUGGAACUCAGGUAAAAUCAUGCAUAUGCAUUUCAUGGUUUUUCACUGAGGAUAGCAAUAUUGUCUGCCAUCCUAAAAAUCUGGGUUUUCAGCUUUUUGAUCUUUAGUUCUGUUGUCUUAUGUUUAAGUUUCUUUACCCUUGUGGCAUUAAAUUUAUGUUUGGGAAAGAUCCUAAUUUGAAUUUCAAAUUGACAACUAGAAUAUUUAAAAGUCUUGCCUUUAUGCUCAAUUUAGUCUAGGGUUGAGAUCUUUUGUUGUGCCAACCCGUGACCAAAUGGUUUGCUGUAAUGAUGCCCAGAUCAGAUGUAUUUGUCUGAGUCUAGACCAGUUCUUGUUGGCUAAGUCGUGGUCCACUGAUGGACUGAGUAAGAGGUUAUACAACCUUAUUGCUCCAUGUUUAAAUCAAACUUGUUUUAGGAAAGGUAUCACUGUGUCCUUGAGUUGGCUCGUGACAAUCAUGUUGGAUCUGCAGCUGUCUUUAUUUGAUAUCAGAGAAAAGUGGUUUGCUAAACUAAUGUGGUAUUAUGCUUUUGGGAAAAAUUUUGCAAAACCUUUUGUCUCUUGCUUUUAAAUCAAACAUUGUUUAGGAUAGUUUUGUUUGUUUCUUUCUUGGCCUAGAACAGCUGUAUAUGUCCUCUCCCUUUCAGAGUUUGGCCAAAGACAAAAGUCCAAAACUCCUUUCUUGCUUUGGCCCUCGUGCUUGCCCUCUUGUGGCAUCUCUUUGGCUUGGGUCUCUCUCUUGUUAGAGCACUCCAUCAGCUUAUAUAUAUUGAGCAAGGCUGCCUUUGCUCAAUGGUUGUCAUAAUGUAGUUCUACAUUUGCUUUGUUGGGUUUCUCCCUUUGUUGGGUUUUUGGUUUUACUUUGCAUUGUUCAUUAGUCACUAAGUCUUCAUUUUGUGAUUAUAAACCUUAGAGCUGAACAAAACAUCUUCUCAUAAACUCAUUGCAUUCUGCAUACCAUGAGAUCAUUGGUAGUGCAGCAACCCAAGAAGUGUUCAUGAAAGAAGCAGCUGAGGAUAGCUGAGUUCUGAUGUAUCCAGUUGAGGUAGCUGGGUUCAUGAAAGAAUCAGUUUAGGAUAACUGAGUUUCUAAGAGUGAAACUUCUUAGAAGUCUUCAAGAAGAAUCAGUUAAGUAAUAGCUGAGUUCUGAGUUGAAACUUCUUAUACCUUCAUAUGUAGCCACUUAGAGACAAGAGAUGUAGAUCUAGACUAGUUUGGGACUAGGUAGGAUAACAAGUCGUUGCUGUUUCCUAUACUGUAAUCUUGUAAGGAGUGAGGUACUCAGAAACAAGAGAGAAAGUAUAGAUCUAGAUUAGUGGGUAGUUUAAGCAGGAUAGCAAGUCGUUGAUGUAUCCCUAGACUAUAAUCUUGUAAGAAGUGAGUUUUACAUAGUGGAAAGGUUUGUCCCUCAAGAGUUAGAAGCAUGCAGUUUUUCUCUCUGGUUGCAGGGUUUCUGCGAGUAAAAAAAAAUCUUGAUGUUCAUUGUUAUUUUACUGCAACUUUUAUUUAUUGUCAUUGUAUAUUUGUUAUUCAGGAUAGCUAUAACCCUUGUUAUCCCUGAGAACGAAUUUAUAUAUCACGUAAAAUAUCUUACAAAGAAUGUAUUAAAUUAUAGCUAGCCUCAUCUGAGUCACCUUGCUAGCUAUAUUUAGCUAGCGAGAUAACUAAAAGUCAUAAUAGCUAAACUUUGGCUAGUCUGCUGGAGCACUAAAAAUAUUUAAAAAAACUAAAUACGCUCUCUAAAAUAACUAAAAGCUAAAAUAGAGAGUCUAUUAAAGUUGCUCUAAGGUGUACCGUUUCGAGUCUCUGCAGAAGAUGAGUCUUAAACUGACGAACUCCCUGUCCACUUGACGGUGGAUCCAUUUUUUGUGCCUCUAGAAAUCCAUGGAAGCGGCCUGUUUGAACAAAAUAUAUUAAUAUAUAGACAAUAAAUUCUUUUUCCACUGCCCAACAAGGAAGUACUUUCUGCCAGAUCCACAGCAUCAUAUAAUACGAUCUUAAGAGCAAGUUAUGCAGAAUAUGCUGAGAACACUAAGAUUCUAUCCUCAUUGAAUAAAGAAACUAAUAAACUCUUCUUAAAAUGUCAUACAGGUGUUAUGAUUACCCAUCAUAUCUUGUCCUUGCUACAUUUUAGAAUCAUUUUUAACUACCAUCAAGGAAAUGCUGUCUACCAUUUUCAAAGCAUAAUAUAAAUUCAUGGUACAAAAACUGAUAGUUCUAAGCUAAUUAAGAAGGAUAUUGAAGCAAAGAACAUUAAGAUUCUAUAAUUUUAGAUAUAAAUAUAUUCAUUUAGAAAUGAUCGGAAUAUAAAUUAAGCUCAUAUUCUUAGUCAUACUUUCAUCUCCUAGUUAUUGUUUACAGUCCAGAAGCAGUAACAGUUCACUCACUAGCCCCCCAAAUAACUUCCUCUCUUAGUGAUUGGUAGUUGCAUCUCAAACUCUACAAAAGCAACUUUACAAGGAGGUUACAAUAGACAACCACCAAACAUUAUGAAGAGCAUCUCAAAGCAGCCACUAACAUCACGAAUAGUGUCAGGUAGACAGCGUCAAUUCGGUAGCCCACCACUCUAAAGUAAGCAAAAUAGCGGACAAGAAACACAUGAUGGGAGUUUUGGAACUUCCCUGUAAACUAUUUACACCUUAAUCUUUGGCUACAAUACGAAAUUCCUAUAGCACGAGGAGAAUCUGGAGUUACUUUGGGAUAAUACUGAGCUUUCAGCUUCUCUUUGGUCAGGCAUUCUGAAGGCAUCCUUGCUUUAACAAGAAAGCCUUGCACAUCGGAGAACUAUAUAAAUCAACAAGACAUCAAUCCUGACAACAAGUACCAGCUAUAUGGAUUCCCAAUUGCAGUCUAUCCUCAGAACAUACACAUAUCCAACUCAACUGCAAGCCUACUAGUGUCCCUAAAUUGACAGUAUCCGUCCGCCACUUCUCUUCCCCUUUGCCAGGACCUAAGACUGAUUGAGGCAAAAGAACAUCAUGUCCCCAAAAACUAUUCUUCAAAAUUCCUUAUAAUUUCCUUCAAAGGAACUCGAUUCCAAUUCCAUCAACCUAGCUACCAUUACACUACUCCUAUUCCUUUGCUAAAACUAUCAAACUAAGCAGGAACAUCUUUCCUAAACAAUGAACAAAUUCCAUCAACAUAUAUUUAUCAUUUGCAUAUACAUAACUCAACUAAAAAAUCACUACUAUCAACUCUAAAAAGUAAAAACAACAACGAAAUGGCAAACCAAUUAGACAAAACUACUUAAACUAGCAUAAGAGGGUCAAAAAGAAUUGACAUACAUAGAUAAGCAACCCUAGGGUUGUCCUCCUCAAUCUCAUUGGCAACCCUGAAAAUGGGAGCAAUAGAAGAAAGGCAGGAGGGCACAACUUCCCUGUCCAAAGCAUCGUCGCCUUUCGUCUGAAAGUCCACAACUCUAGCAGCCAUUCUCGUCAUCCCCCUCGACAGCGACCUCUGCCGCCCCGACGAGUUCGGCGCCUUGGUCCCGCUCGAGCUCGCCAUUCCUUCAAUACUAGUCUCCUCACUGAUUCUGAUGAAAAUGAGAGGUGUCAUCUGUUUUGGAGGGUUUUAUGUAGAGAAGGGUGUGAUGAUACUUUGGGAGAAGAGGGGCAAAGUGGGGAAUUGGAAGUGUUUUUGUUUUGGAGCUUCUUUUGUGAGUGCUUUUGCUUUACAUUUCUUAAGAGCGGAGAGGUUUGAGGGAUAAACAAAUCUGCCAUCGCCAUUGCUUUUUCUCUCUUUCUGUCUAUCUGGGUCUUUUUCUUCUUUUUCGCUUCUUUCUUUGUUUUAAAAAUGGUGGAGUUUUUUGCUUGCCCCGGAAGUUUUACAGGGCGGGAACUGUGCAUGGGAGAAAGAGAGCGGCGGGCCACCACCAACACUCUUUUUUUUUUUUUUUUUUUUUAAUUGACCUAAAAGGCAAGUAGUUGAUAAAGCAUUACAAGUUUACAACACUACAAGAUUUGGGGAAAAUGUGAAAUGCAAACCUGUGCUCAAACCAAGUGUUCUUUGGAGUGUCGGGGAUGGUAGACAUGUCAACAUUUGGCGAGACAAAUGGAUUCCUGAGUGUUCACUGUUCACAAUAUUUGAUUCAAAAACCACCAAACUGUGUGUUUGAGCUUGUGUCGGAUGUCAUUGACACUAACUAACGACCUGAGGUUGCUCAAAGGUCCUGUGUCUUCCUUUAAGUGAACGAAACUUGGGGGACAAGCUUUGUUGAAGCCCUGAAAAGCGUAGUUUUUACUCAGGUUAAAACGGCAUUUGAAGAAAGAGAAGUGCGCUAAAUUGAUGAUGAUGAUAUGGUCCUGGUGGAAGAACAGGAGCAAUAUGCUAUGGAAUAAUACGAAUCAAAACUCCUCAUGAUUUGAUGCAGGGAGCUUUAGCUUGGUUGGUUUCAACAAGGCAAGAACUGUGUCAAAGCAAACUCAGAUCGACAACCAAGCAAUGCUGGAGCCUACAACACUAUGGAGAUGUAAACUAAAUGUCGACGGCAGUUUUUUACCUUCAAUUACUCAUCCUUGAACCGUGGAACCGGGGGUCGUACUAAGAGAUGAUAAGGGUAAUUUCAAAGCAGCUUUUGCUAUCCCUAUAUUUUCAGUGGCUUCAGCGGAACAGGUGGAAUUAUGUGCCAGGUUUAAAGCAGCUUGAAACAAUGAAGAUUAUCAAUGUGGUAAGGGACUAUAUGGAAGCCAUUACAAACAUCUCAGAUGUGCAAAGUAUGCAUCUUGGAUUGGAGGGCCUUCUGCAAGAUAUUAGAGCUGCAAUCUCUCUAUACCAGGUAUGUCUGCAACAUGCAAGUAGAGAUUGUAACAGGGGUAGCACAUUGGCUUGCAAACACUGCAUAUGAGGAUACCAAUAGAUCAGUUUGGCUAGACAACCCACCUAUAUGUAUUCUUGAUAUUCUAAAGCAUGAUGUACCUAACCUGGGUGGCUAAUAUGCGCCCAGUGUUUCAAUAUAUUAACACCAUUCCAAGGAAUUAAAGAACAUUUGGGAAUAAUAUAUCAUAAACCAUAGUGACAAAAAGCUCUGCAUUCUUUUAUUACUUCAGGAUUUAUGUACCAUUAAUAUACACUCUCAUCACGUAUACAUUGUUGAAAACAUCCAUAUGAGAAUCUUCUACAUGUAAACUGGGUGUGUAUAAUACGACUCACAGGAUGAUUAACUUUUGCAGUGAUGGAAAGCAUUCAUUGCAGAAUGUGCCUCUAGCAGUCCUGCGAUACAACUCUGCACAUGAACCAAAGGCAAAAGUCGGUAGGAUCCACAUAUCUGCAGUAGAAAUGGUAGUACAGGACAACAGGUGAGCCACCAUGUUCAUUUGAACUUCGUCUGAAGUGCAUUAGUCUAGAAUCAUUUGCAUUUCUGCAUCAGCAUUCUCGAAACCUCUUCUUCAGAGACAAGAUAACAAUGAGAGCUACAUGAGUUUUCCUUAUACGGACUUGGUCGCAACGCCUGCAUUGUACAAAAAAGUCAAAUUAAUGUCUGAAUGUCUUCCCUUCUUAAAUGAUAGAAUCCCAUAAUUUAAUGAAAAAGUUUCCAGGCUUUGUAGGAGAGAAAAAACAAGAUUAAAUGUCAGCACAAUGGAAUAAAAUAAGAACCAGACCUGAUUAUUUGAACUUGUCACAGUAGCCCAUUGACGAGGAUGCUGUGGCCCCACUCCAGCGUGGCUGAUGAAUGCAAUUGUUGUUGAUUGUUCCCGUCGGCGAUUAGUGUGGGGGUGGCAAUUCUCUCAUGAACCACAACACAAAAGCUGAGGGUACCCAAGAGCCUGAAGAUAGAAGGGAAGAUAAUACUUGAUGACUAACUUUUUUAUUUUUGGUCAAAAAUACUUGAUGACAAACUUGAAAAGCAAAAUUGCAAGCAGCUGAAAAUGGAAGAUAGUAUUACCUAUAAAAUAGUACAGCAUCAGGAAAACUAGCGCUUUCCCGCCAUAUGCUUUUUUCAGACUCCAAGGAUCAUAUAGCUGGCAAAGAAUUAAAGUGAAUGGUAAACAUGAAAGAAGUGGCACAAAGCAGUAAGUAAGAUCGUUCCUUACUGCCAAGGGCUGCCAGAUGACACAGCCUUGGACUUGGCUGCGGUUUUGCGCAUGGUGAUUCUGCCCCCACCGAAGAUGUUAGAUGCAGCUGGACUAAGCUGCGCAGCUUGGCCAGCUAGAGAAGGAGAAAACAGAGCCAUUGUUGACGCAGCCAUUUGAGAAAAAUGUAUCUAGUCUGGUUAGACUUGGAUAAUGGGAUGUGAUGGCUGUUUGUUUUGUGAUGGUAAGAGACCUUGGUGGGCAUAUUUAUAGCUCUGGUGAUAGGGAUUAUGCAUUAUCUGUGUGAUAUCUUUAUCUCUAUUCUCAUUGGUGAAAAUGAAGUUCAAAGAUUUUCAAUAUAUCUUCAUGGAGAAAAUCUUCUACUCUGAUAUCUUUAUCUCUACUCUCAUGUGAUUCUUUCUAGUUGGCAUCAGAUGUUCCACUUGUUUAGUUCAGAAAAUCUGAAAGACAAUGAAGAGAUUAUCUCAUUGUUUUCAUUUAUUUUUAAGUUUAGAUACUUUCAUCUGUAGCCAGUAGUAUUUCCAAGUAAUGACACAUUCAUUUCCAGUUGGCUUGUGAUUUUAUAUGGUGUUGAGAGCAUCAACAUAUAUGCUUUGAUCUCAGUCCAAUAGACUUUUGGUAAGCAAUCGGCAAGUCAAUGAGACCAAAGGAUUAUAGGAUAGCAGGGAAAUAUUUACAUGUGAGAAUCUGUGAACACUGAAUCUAACAAGAAUUUAGUAUUUUAAUUAUGACACAGAAAUUGAUCUUACUGUACAAAGAAAAUCCUUGAAACUAAUUUCAUUGUUGAUAUGAAUGGUGCAGACCACAUCCACAAUAUCAUGAUUGUAAAAUCAUUACUACUGAGAUACAAAUCUGAACUGGAAAGAUUUUUAUGCAGGGAAGUAGGAUUCUGAAGUUGAAUUACUAGUAUACUGGGGUUCUAUGUAUUUUAGUCGAAACAGAACUGAACUACAAAGUGAUCGAUUCUCAAGUGCUGAGCCUGUCGAAUACAUACUCAUCCUAACCUCAUUUGGCUUCAUUGAGCGUAAACUAAAUGAUAUAACCUUAUUUUCCAGUACUAGAGCAGAAAAGUUAGCUAAAGCAUCUCAACAACAUCAUCAUUAGCUAAACAAUCUGGAAUUUGAUGUAAUAUACAAAGUGACCAAUCUAACUCAAUGUCAUCACAGUUUUACUGUUAAUCAACUAAAGGAGUUGCAGCAACUCAAAUAAUAACUUGUGAGCUACCUUAUAUGAGAUUUGCUCGUAACUAACAAAGAUCUAGAAGCAAUCCAUGGUCAUGCAGUUACUCAACUACAUGAUAAUCAUGGCAACUCAAAUAAGGACUUAAUAUUACCACAUAUAUGAGUUCCCUAGCCAACAGAGAUUCUAGCAUAACUGAGUCAUUUGUGAGAUUAUGAUUGAAUUACAAAUCAAGACAAGAAAACAAACUCAUUAGUUGACACAAGUCCGACUGAGGAACAAACAUACCUGUCGGAGUAAAUGUAACUUAUUUAUAGUGUAGAGCAGUCGCCACCCCGGAUUCAAGAGGAGUCAGGUAUCCAAUCUUUUGGCAAUGACGAUUUGAAUAUUCGGAGGAGCAAUGUCCUCUCCUUUCUCCCUAGCUUCUUUGCACCAUAUCCACGGAAUACACCAAGCUUAAGUGCCUUUUUCCCUUCUUCCACCGCUUGUUUUCUCACGGCCACCAAUAAAUCUGUCCCUUGGGGAUCAAUGCUGUUCUCUUCUUUUUCACUUUCACAUUUCUCUUUGUUUUCUGCAAUUGAACUUGCGCCAUCCGCUAGUUUGUUGGACUGAUGCUUGUUUUCUUCAUCAGCCUUAGCUGCUUCUCCACGGAUGCCCUUAUCACAAUCAAGGCUAUUGCUUCCCCACCAUCUAUUGGAUGCAGUUGAUAAACCUUCAGAUGGGAAUCCAUUUUUCAAUUCUUCCAAGGUUGUACCUUUGGUCAAGCUUAACGUGAGAAGAUUGUGAGGCCGUCCAGUCUGAACAUUUUUGCUUCCUUGCUGCUGCAAAUUAUUAGAGGCCAUGACACCUUGUGGUUUCGACUGCAUUACUGGGUGUUGGGAAUCACUGCAUUUAAAAAUGAAGGCUAAAGAAUAUGAAAGGGAACAAUGAACAAAAAAAGGUUCACCAGGAACAUUUAAUCUCAUGACCAAUCUGUUGGUCAAAAUGUCUAUCACGAUUGAGUUGGUUCAAACAAAACAAGUAGAAUGCACCAAAAGUAGUGUCACAGAGAGGAAUAUCAAAGAUGAGUAACAAUAAACAAAGAGGGUAAACACCACCAGGUAGCAGCUUUAGAUUAGUAUUUUAUGAUUCUCAGACUCUUCUUCAGACAUAGUCAGAUAUACAUAACUUAUAAGGUUUGAUGGCUAUCUGCUUCAUCAAUGAUCUAAAGACAGGAUUUUGAUGUGAUUUAUUUUCAAUAUCCAACAAUAUUUCUGACCCAUGUGUAAUUGAUUUCAGUAUAUCAUUAGAUGUGCAGCACAAUCUUCUGUUCUUUGGUUAUGUAUCCGUAACCCAAAACCAACCAACUCUAGAUAAAUCUAAGCCUAACAAGAAGUCAUCAAGUAAUAAAGGAUAUGCAGUCAGGGGGAUCAGCAAUCAUUUGAAACCCGAGUCCCAAGUGUGUGCCAAGUGAGCGUCUGAUCAACACACAAGCACGAUGCAAAAUGCUCUCCUAACCUUCAAGCAAAAGAGACUUGGGCACCAUAAUCUCUAAAAUAGCAUCUCAAGCACCCGUAAGAUCUCACCUUUGGCGAUUAUAUCAAAUACAGGACCAAGAGUAGCCGAAGCUAGAUUGCGAAAAACAUCAGAUCUUUAUGUACCAAUCUUUGGCAUCUAACUUCGUUGCUUCUAUUCUUCUCCAGACAAAUUGCAUUCUCUACGAAUAUGCUGCAAAUUUCACUCCUAAUCUAUGGACAUCCAACCCAAAAUCUUGACCAAACCUUUUCAACUUUUCUAGAGUAGAUUCAAAAUCAUUUAGCAACACACACACAAGGGAAUCUAAUACAAAAAGCACAGACCUUUUGGAAGCAUGAAUUUGAAGGUUCUUUCGGGAAUUAAAACGUAAAGACAUAAAAAAGCGAAGCACAGGAAACAGAAUAAGAGAGAAGCUCGCUUACAAUUGGGCUGUUGUUGUUGACUUGUUGUGGCUGCUGUUCUAGUGUGGCUACUGCUUAAGCUCUCAAUUUCAGACACCCAAAAGUGGAGAGCUCAGAGUCGAAGAGCGCGUCGGCUACUUGAAAGACAAAAGUCUCUCUGUUCUAUAUUGUUUAAGCAACCAACACGUGGCAGAAUCGUGUUUCUCAGGAUUCGAAUAUUCUAUUAUGUGGUAACCGGUAAGAUUGAUCGAGCGACCUAAUACCUAAUGUCUAGUGUUCGAAUUCUAACUCCUCCUGCUUUGUGGCCUUCAGAAUUGGGAACUUUGGAUUAGCAAAGCGGGGGGUACAGGCUCUAGACGACAUCAUUGCCAAUUGCUUCUAAUCUGCCAAGUUUAAAAACAAUUUUUUUUUUUUUACCCUUUUCUUCUGAAUAUAAAUUGACGAAAUUUACCGCGGAAUGUUUGAAUAAAUUUCACAAGUACUAGACUAUUCUUCUAUUUUAAGGCGCCUCUAUAGAUUGAAAAUGAAAUUUGGAGCUCAUCAUCCUGAGAUUAAAGGAGGUACAGAAUCUGGUUUAUGAGGUAUAUGUUGAACCAUAAGGUGUCUACUAUGAAGCUUACUAAGCCAAAGCUAGUCAGCUAGAGGUUCUCUGCUCCAAAUGAAUAUUCAAAAUUUUCAAUUUAAAAUCAAAAGCUAAAAUCAAUAGCAGUUCAUGAAUCAAGUGAGCUUCUAUCCUAAUGAUGUACAUGAAAAAUACAAGAAAAAGAUAUACAAGUCACUCUACUUGAUCUGCCUCAUAAAAACUAACUCCUAUGAUGCUAUAGAAUUUCACAUGAAUAAACUAGUGUGGACAUGACCUGAGAUGAUAAGAACUUCACAGUGCAUGGCAUCUUAAGUUCAUUCCCUAGCUUGAAGCCGUCGUCUUAUCCUUCCUUCCGGCAAGAAUCAUAGAAAUUUGUAGGCCUCGACUGAAUGCUUGGUUGAAGAGCAACCGUGUUUGGAACUCUGAGACAAAUGGGAACCAUGACAAAAUGGCAACAGGCGCGAAGACUACUACUCCCAUUAUAUAAUCAUAUGCUCUUCCCAGCUCCUUGAUUGAUUCCCAGAAUCCUACUCCCUUAAGCAUUGGCCUGCAUACUUGCCCGAUCUAGGAAGGACAAUAUAUAAAUGGUUUCAGUGAAUACAAUCCAUUACAAAACACUUGUGUACAAAAAGAAAAGAAGAAAAAAAAAACUACUGUUAAGAGAACCAAGAUACACCCUAUUUAUUUUAGUCUGAGGAGUACUAAACGGAUGAUAUAGUCUAAGAUGUGUACUAGUAUAAUACAUGAAAUGAGAAAUCUGAAGGCACUAAGUGCAGAUAACCAGAGACAGAAAAGAUACUUACAAGAAGAAGUGCCCACCCUGUGGGCAAGAAGGCAAGGAUAGAGGCAAACAGAUCUGAAAUAGUAAGCCCACAGACAACAAAUAGUACAGUCAUGACCGACAUGAAACCAAGGAAAAGAAGUGCUUUCAGAAUUCUGAACAUGAGCUGAAAGUCGGUGCCAAAUCUUCGUCUACCCAUUGACACCAUCUGACAGAAAUGUAACAAACAAGCAAGUAACAUCAUUCAUUUGAUACUAUAUAAACUUCCCAGGAAAAAAUGAUACUGAUAAAAGUAGAAAAGGUAUGCACAAACUGUCAUGUUAUCUAUAACGUUAUCUAUAACUCGAAUGAACCUAAACAACUUAUACUUCAAAAACAUUCAUAACUUACACGUAAAAAUUUGGCUUAAUCUCUAAACAAAGUUUAAUGCUUUAUUUGCGAUUUUCUUGUGCAUACCUUUAAGACGAGAAGCACUGUUACCAUAACCACCCAAGAAAGUCCAUAAACCUACACACAAAUUGAAAAAAGGUGGUCAGUCCUGAACGUCAAAAGCAAAAAGAGACAACAUACUGAUAUAUAUUUGAACAUAAAUAGUACCAGUAAACUCUUGCUGAAAUGAGCUAUAUCGAGGUGGUAAACAAUCCCAUAUUGGUAAAAGAAGAAGCGAAAUGCAAGCAUUAUCUCAAGAAUUCUUCCACGGAUAAUAGUGUGCUUAAGGUGUUCCUGCUCUUCAUCCCACCAUGAUUCCCAACUUUUGUCAGGUGAGAUCCCAAUACCACCACGAUUUCCCAUCCACCUCUUCCAAUCAGUCCAAUCAUCUACAGUUUUUUGCCAGUCAAAGCUGGACGGAUUAAAGAUGAAUGGAGCAAACAACCAGGAAGCAACCAGAAACCACAUGGAGAAUGUGAUGAAAAAAUACAGAUUUGAACUCCUAUAAGCAUUCCCGUAGACUCCAUAUACAAUCAGCAGAAUCAACAGCUCCAACCCUUUCACAAAGUGACUUCUUGAGUACAGCCUGUAGUUAUCGGCAAACUUUGCAUGAAAAACCACAAAACCACGGCCAGUUGCUCUAUAUUUAGAUCCACCAUGUAAGAUUGUCCUUCCGUAAUAAUGUGCUUUUGUUCCUAGUUGGAAAGUGAAGAAAACAGAAGCCAGCUGCAGCUGCAUGAUGAUGAAAUCACCCAAGGCAGUGCGAAAUCCUUUCUCCAGACCAAUUUCCAUAACCAUGGGGAGGACCAGCAACAACCCCAGUUGAAAGACAGACUGUGUAGCCAGAGCUUCUUCAAAAGCCUUGGUCUGAUGUAUGGCUGGGCUAUCCAGGAUCUCACUUUCC
rnacentral:lncRNA from 1 species